rnacentral:lncRNA from 1 species
UGUUUUUUUUUUGUUUUAGAUCCAUGCAUCUGGCGGCGUAAACUUUGUAGCAGAUUCACCCUCUCCCGUUUGAAAAUACACACACUUAUUUUCAUACUUUUCUGCAAGUACGGAGCUUCAUGUUUUCAAUCUUUUUGCUACCAGUAAACUUGACACUAGCUCAUUGCCUAUUUGCAUUCAGUGGAAAAAGAAAGAAAGUAAAUCCACACACGUGGGCAUCACAUCUCUGCUGUGUGCAAUGAAUAAAACGGUGACAAAAGAGCGAAAAGGUCAAUGAAUGCGCGUUCAUAUCAAAAGAUUGAAAAUACAUGAGCCUUAAAUUUUGAAAUGGAGAGAGUAUUGUGUAUAUUUGUAUGUGACCACGCAUGGGGCCAUACACAGCUCUAUAUACAGUCACAUUGAUUUGUAUGCGGGCAGAUAUCUAUCAAGUUCCAUUAAUUGCACGCAUAAUUUAUAUAUAUAUCGCACAUACGAAAAAUGCAUAUGCUUAGUAUAUGCUACUACCAUACAUCACCCAACACUUGCAUGCAUCCAACAGCCCUAGAGCGCAGGCUCUUUAUCUCGAAUAUUUUUUCAGGCCCAAUUAGUAACCUCGCCAGGUAUCCAAGAUGCUCAAAUGUGCAGCAUACUACUAGCUAGUAGGAAUAGGCAAUGUGACAUGCAUGCUUUUGUUCAGCUACUACAGUAAAAAAAUAUCAGGGAGAAGAGUUGAAAUUUUUUUGUGCAGGAUAGAUGACAAGGGAUAGAUUUUGCGUUGGGCAGUGUGCACUGGCAAAUCCUCAUGGCUGCAUCGUAAAGAAUGUGCAAGCCAGUUAAUCUUGGAUGGGAAUAAAGUGGUACAAAAAAUCAGGGAAUUAGGAGGGGACUAAACCCUUCCAACCCAACAUGACCCAUGUGGCCUGGCGGCACCAGCUUUUCUUGGUGCCAGCCACCUUUGUGAUCCGGUGGGGCGGGAGGCGAGAUCUGGUCGUCUCCUCUCUCUCUUCCGGCUUCCACUGAUCCGGACCCCCUUCGGUUCUUCCAUUGCAAGCCAGUGGCAGCCUCGGUAAUUCUACUAUAAUUGAAGGCUACUUUUAUCUCCACCGCCACACACACACACACAAACUUGGAAAAGCCCAACAAGAAAGGGGGCAAAUUGCACAAGCAAGGUAAUCCUCGUUGAGGCACCAUGACUAGAGAUGAAAAUGAAGCAUCAUGGUGGUUCACUGGUUCUUGCACGCAAUGUUGAUUUGUCAUGAUUUUAUGAGUUGCCUUUUUCUGCUGGUUGUGAUAUUAUUUCAGUUGUAAAUGAAAUUCAAUUUCUUCUAUACAUAGUUUUACGGCUAUUUAUUAAAGGUUAAUAGUACAAACCGAAGGACCGCGCAUUUUUCUUAAAAUUGAAUUGGCUCGAAGUGCGUCGCGCGCCUUUUUGUCGGUGGCAUGGAUCAUAACUGGCAUGCAUGGUCUGUCCUUGCAUGGAUCUCAUAAUGCAUGGAUCUCAUAAUGCAUUUGACAUUGUUCACCCCUCUCUAGUUCAUAACUGGCUUGGUUUGCCCUCGGUGUCCUUCCUACUUCGAUCUCACAAUGUAUUUGUCAUUGUCCACCCUCUAGCUCUUCAAGAUCCAAAUGAUAUAUCGUCGUUCGUUCUUACGAGGGGCGUGGUACACGAUGGUAAGCCCUCAUUUGAGAAACACAUUUAACUUGCACAAACAAUGUACAGGACAGCCAUUGUCCCCAUGUUUCCUCUAAAGAUCUAGAGAAAGUAGAAAAAUAUCCUAAAGGAAAAAAAUGAAUAAUAAUACCCAAAAAAUAACUAUAUGGCCAAUUUGCCCCAUUGGCAUGCCUGAUGACUGGAAAGUUUCCUCACGAGGAAGUCCCUGCAGAAACCUGGCCAUGCAGCCGGCGCUCUGGUCCACAGGGACCGUGUGCACGGCCGCACCAUCUCACCAUGGAAUGGCCAGGACGGACAGCGCUGUGACUGUGGCCUGCUGUGUGUGAGGCCACCCCAGCCAGACCAGGGAAAGUGGUGGUGGGUGCCGCCGCGCGACUGACGACUGCAGCGAGCGGCUGAAAGGGCUUCAGGUCUUCAGAACUAGAAGAGCAGCAAAAGGCCACCCCCGGUUGUUUGUUUCCUCCUUGUUGUCUAGCCCGGCGCUUCCAAACUGCUGGCCAUGCCGCUCUGCGGCUGUAACGAAACUGCUCUACGCUGCUGUGCUCACACAGCUGCUGGCUGCUGCCGUGCAGCGCUAGCUCUUGCAAGUGCCCAUCUGAAAGGCGCUGAUUACAUGCAUGCUAACUUGGGGAGGCAACUUAGCUCCUCUCGUCCCCCUGCAUCAUCAUGGAGUGUUGCCCUUCUCAUCACCUUGUUCUGCCUCUGGUUGUAGUUGCAGAUGAAUUAUUAGGCUAUUUUCCUGGUUUGGACCCUGUUUGUGGAGAGCGAAACAUUCACUUUCAUUCAUGCUGAGAGUCCAAUUAAUUCAGUUACUAGGUGUAUGUUGUUUGCCCCCUCUUUUUUUAAUCUUCCAACCCAAGCUUUUACCUAUCCCAUCCUUUUUUUUUUCAAAAUGUAGGUUGUUUUAGUUUUGUCAUGAGUCAAACUUUGAUAAAAUUUAUUAAAAAAUACACAUAUAACAUCAAAUCAGUUUAGUUAAAUCCACCGUGGGUAUAUAUCUUUAUAGUGUAUUUAUUUGCAAUUAUACGUAUGCUAAUAUAUUCUACUAUGUACUCGGACACUCAGUCAAAGCUAGAGAUGUACGUAUAACUUUGGACAAAAACCAGAAUGAACCAUAUUUUUGAAAUGGAGGGACCAGUACAGAUUAUGAACUUUUUUCUUCAGUGUCACGGGCCCACAUAUCAGAUGUACGUGUUGUGCCGGAAUUGUUUUCUAUAUUCACUUCAAAGAUGCAUAGUGCACCAGCAUAAUCUCCACUAUAAAAUUAGAACUCCUGCAAACCAUCCCUUGCGCCAGAAUUAAGUUACAAUGUGGUUGGAUGGACGUGCAUAACAAAGGACUCGGAGUAUCUCAAGAAGCUCCUACCAAGUGGUAAAAUUUCUAGAGGCAGAUGAGCUGGUUGGGACCAUGAUUACCCAAACUUCAGUGCACGGAAAGAUAGGUGUAUAUCCUAUCAACAAGUUGGGGAUGCACAUGUAAAAUAAAAUACACAACGACUCGCUCGCCUCAAUCUGGCUUUUCUGAAAGGUUUAUUACCCAUGUAAACAGCAUUACUGCCUGUCAGGAAUUAAUAAUUCCUGCUAAAAGCCCAGCAGUUACCAUUACGCCCCCUCAUAAUCCUCUUCCCUUCUCGUUGCGACCCCUCUCUCUCCUCCAUUGAAGGGCACCGCUAUUUAACAGCCUUCGCGCUACCGCCCCCAACCUUAUUCUCUCUCUCUCUCUACCCACUUCUUGUUCUUGCAAUUGCACCCCCGGCCCCUCCUCCAGGGACGAGGAGAAUUCGAUCCCAAUUUACCGCGAAAGGUCGUCGGUAAUUGGAGAGAGAGGGGAGGGGGCAGCAAUGGCGUCUCCCGCCGACGAGGCUCUCCCGGCGCUGCCGCCCAUCAAGACGGCGCCUUUGCCGCCACCGCCGUGUGCCUCAGCCUCGGGCUCGGGCUCGGCCUCGGCAUCUCCGUCGGUCCCGGCCCCGGCGCCGGCGAAGGACGGCGCGGAGGCGGCGGCUGAGGAGGAGGAUCAUGAGCCGUCGACACCGACGUCGGAGGAGAGCAGGCUGCGGCCGCCCGCGGUGUGCCCGCCGGCCCCGCGUAAGCCGCCGGCGACGCGGCUGCCGGUGAAGCGGAAGCCGCCGCUGCCGUCGCCCGCGCGGGUGUUCGUCGCCGUCCCGCGCGACCUCUCCACCGUCUUCCGGGCGCUGCCGCCCAAGAAGCGGAUCCGGGUGUCGUGAUGCUGCGAUCUGGCCGCAAUUCACCACCGGCUCCCAGGCUUGGUCGAUUUCUUGGAAAAUUCUUCCGAGUUCUGGCUUUUCUUCUUCUUCUUUUCCUUUUUUCCCCCUUGGGUUACUGGUACCCACGGCCAUGGUAUAAAUUAUAAUUCGCGGUAUAAAUAACGUGCUAUUUUUCUGCGUGUUUCUUUUUCCUUCUUUUUUGUUGUGUUUGCGUGAGCGAGAAUUUGUAGCUCUAGAAAUGAAGAUAUUGCUGUUACUGAAUGGAAGCAGUUGAAAGAAAAGCAAACUUGUAAGAAAAAUUCACACUGAUCUUGUUAAUUAUGAUACCUAGCAGAAUUAUUUACCAUAACCUCAGUUUUGCUUGGUGCUGAAUCUGCAAAAAAUUUGGAAAUUCAGCCAUUAAUUGUCGAUCAUAAUUUAGUGGAUAUAGAAAAACCAGCGCACAUGAAGCCAUGAACACAGUGACAAACUGCUAAUUUGGGUAGAUCCACCAUUUCUUACAACAAGGCAGCACAGAUUUGUUAAUUGUGUGAUAAUCCUGUGAGAAGUUUGAAUUUUUUCGAACUUACUUUACUGAAUGCUCUCGGCAGUGGACGGAUUAGAUACCCUGCCCAUCAAAUCAAUUCGGCAAAAGAAAAUGGCUCUGAUGGUGAGUGUACUUUUGGUUGUGUUUGUCCGAAUGCAAGAGAGAGAACAGACAGAGCGAAUCUUCCAUUGAUCAGGACACGACAUGAUUUUUCUGUUUUUCUCACUCAAUUUCCAUCGAUCUUUGCAGGGUUAAAGCCUCUCUGAACGCCUAAUUUCCCAAUCUGUCCUUCUACUCUCUGCCUAUAAAUUGCAAUGAAACUGUUCGUUUGAGCUCUGUUCAUCUCAUCCGAAGCCUUUUGUUUUAACUACCUCUGUACAAUGAACUGUCGUAUCACAUCUUCACAGCUGAGAAGAAUCCAAGCUCCCAAGUCCCAAGUUUCAAGAACAUGCAGCUGAUGGGUCAUGACAAGGAAAAAGGCCAGGCAACAAGUUUUCCUCUCAGGGUUCUUUGUCUUGUGCUACGUUGGUCAGUCGGUCCAUCCACAUCUAGCUCACAAGCAGUGCCACAGUUCAGCCAUAUACACAUCGACUGCCAUACCCCACCAGUUCAGGUAUCAACACUCCAAGUGCCCUAUCCUGAUGAAAACUGUAAAGUCCCAUAUGAAUUUUAGCUGGUAAAACUCGAGCCAGAGAUAUCCUUCUAACCACAUUGGUUAGUUACACGCUAUUUCUCAGGAUCAAAGUCUUGCAGUUACUACAGAAAAGUUCAGUUCAGGUAGCGUGGCCUUGUGACCUUGUCUGUAGAAGGUUAUGAUGAGAAAAAAGUCUGUGAUGAUGCCCUGAAGAAGGGGGGAGAGGAAGCUGAGCAACUGGAAAAGCUCCCUCACGGCUCACAUGGGUUGUUACUUGCAGUUACGGUCAGUGUUGUUGCCUCAGGAACAGGUCGCCCGAGCACUUUAUCCCAGGAUGACGCGAGGGAUCAGGGCUUGGAAAGCCCUUCUGUUACUCCUGCAUGGCUGCGGCUGCCGUUUUUUCACCUGCUGUAACAGAAUCUGUGGUCAGCAGCACAAGGAAUGUCUCCAAACCUACCCACUUACUAUUUUUCACGAGUGUAAAAAAUUGUCCAGGCUAGCUGAUACUAACCCCGAGAAAGAUACCAUUUUUUUCCAGAUUUGAUGUUUAAUUGGACACUAGUUAGGCACUAGACUCUGUCACUACAAUGUGGGCCCGGUCAAUGGCAAACGGCAGAAAUGGUAUGAAUGGCCAAGAUGAUGGCAACACGUUGGGUACUGGAAAACUCGGUGCACGCACACAUGCAUUCUCCAGUGAAGAAAAGUAAAACAGAGGUAAAUGCGAGGCUGUGAGGUCAAGCGGCCAAGCACGUACGCAUGCAAGUAAAUACAGUAACCUAGGAUUCUUUCGGCAGCGGUAAAUGUUUUUGUGCAUGGCUGGCUUCUCAACGGACAACGGGGAGUGCAUGGAAACGUUACAGGAGUAAAGUAAAGUAACUUCACCUCCCAACCGUUGGCUUUCCACAUUUUUCUCUUCGGGUAACAGUUUUUUUAGAAGAUGGCCUUGCCUUCAGAAUACAAGUUGUAGGAUCAGUUCGCAGCACGUGUGAAGGCCACCACAGUCUAGAAAUUAAAUCCUAGGAAAUUCCUUCCCCGCUGUGAAUCGAACCUGCGACCUGCAGGGAGGCCGGUGCUACUAGGGCUCUCUGCUAACCAACUUGGUUGCAGGCCUGUUCGCCUCUUCAGGUAACAGUAGGAUGCCUGCCCAAAGAGGUAUACUGGCAGCGAGGUAAGUAUGUGGAGGAGGACUCGUCUUUCUUUUUUCCACGCCCAUUUAUUUACCCAGCUAAUGCCUGCCCCGUUUUUCAUGCCAAUUGUAUUCCCUCCGAUUUUUUAAAUUCCAUCUCGUGCCAUGUCAGUGCAGCUGCAGGUUCCAUGAAGACGAAAAAGAAUUCAUAGACCCUUUUCACGGCACUAGUGGCAAGAUGAUCUUAGUUUAUCACUGCGCACCGCCUCUGAAACUAACUUUCCAGUAUAAUCGUUUUAAAAAUGAGAUUUUGAACACGCACGAUAUGCAAAAUAUAUAUAAAAGAAAUAAUGUGAUAGUACAUACGUAUCAAUUCUGUUGAAAUCAUUCUAGUUUCGGUCCCGGCAGAAAUGUGCGCGCUGCCAGUCCUGCUGCCACCGGCCGGCAACGUGUCCACUAGCCCAAUGAUACUCGCUCCAUGAUUAGAAAAACUCCCUCCAAAACCAAAUUUCAAAAAAUCAAAAUUCCUCCAAAACCGUGCUACCUGAGACUAUACUCCCGUAACAGUGGGCGGCAAUCAUCAAUGGAAUGGAAACAAGAUCACCUCCUUCUGUCGGAAUCGAUCUGGGAUCGCUCUCGCUGCCAUUUUCGGGGUCGGCAUGCAUUUGCUUCUCACCUAUUGCUCUGUUUCCAUCCCCUUGAAAGGAGAAAAGGAGCACCAGUUGAUUUCAGAUCGUUGGGGACGAUGGCUUUUCCCCUCACGGUUUGCUUUGAGCAGGAAUUGCAUCGCAGCACUAAAGCAUGAAUGAAUGCAGCUGCACGGCAGUAGAGACUCUCCCACCCAACAAAGAUUUGGGCGAGUCAGAACAGGCACACGGCUUGCUAAUUUUCCAGAUCCGAAAUGGCCUGCUGCUUUAACCCUGCCACACCAACCAGUAGUCCGCUGGGCGAUGGUAUGGCACGGCCAGGACUAACCCUGUUGCUGCUUUUAAUACAGGCUUGCUUUGCCAUUGAUUUUCCGUAACCACUCCUCCUGUCCAGCUAGGACGAACUGGGAGUCCUCUGGGCGAUGGUAUGGUAUGGCCUGCAUUGCUUAAUGCAAGACGCAGACAGCGGCAAAGGGCAAGGUCCACCAGCGGCGGCGAUCGCUUUCUGGGCCCCGCUCGUCAGGCUUCCAUUCCUUCCUUCUGAAAACUUGGGAUGCCUGCCGCCGCUCAAUGCGAUCUGCCACGACACGACGACAGAUCGGAAACGUCUCGUACGGAGCUGACGCUGCUGUGUCAGAGUAACUUCACCAGCAAAAAAAAAGAAAACUAAUCAUAAAAUGCCAAACGGUUGAUUGCGAAUGCUGAAUAGUAAAGGGGUAUUUCUUUUUGCGAAUGCUGAAUAGUAAAGGGGUAUUAUUGCCGGCCAGCGGGAAACGCGAAGCACGGAGAUGGGUCAUCAUGCGUGCACGUCAUCGAUCGCGAACCGGAUUCUCUCGAUCGAUUUUUCUCUCCAAGAACUGGGUAACGAGAAUGCACGCACAAGCAAGUGCGAGCCUUGCCAUGCAAGCAACGUUGAUGCUGCGCGCUGGUAGCUGCUCCCCUUUAGCCUUUUGUCCACGGCAAGGAAGCCGUAGUACGUACUAGUAGGAUAGGAAUGCCGACGCUGUCGUCCAGCAUCGGCCGCCCGGCGCCCACCCAGCUCUGGAUCGAUGGACCGAUCGACCAUGCACUCCCGGUGACGUACGAUAGGUUCUGCCUUCCGCGUAGGCAUCCCCUAUAUGGUGAUGGUCCUAUCUACAUUGGGUGCCCCAUCUCUCGUCAAGCAAUCCAAUGCAAAGCUGGGACCAAUGAUGAUGAUCCCCAUUUUUCCCUUCACCAGUCACCACCGUACCUAAGCUCUGGCUCGCUGACGUUGCAAGAAAGACCCGGCCGGGCCGGGCGCCUUGUGCUGAAGCUGAACGCGCCUCGCGCCGCCGCCGGCCAGCACUAAUCGUCGUCUCGCAUCGUGCAUUCGUGCGUGCAUCGCCCGCGUUUUAGUCGUCGCAGGGAAAAGGGGAGCGUUGAUUUCCUGCUCGCCCGCGGCCGCGGGCGGGGGCAUGCACGGGGCCCGGCCGGCCGGCGCCUUGAAUGUGCCGUGCGUCCUGGAUCGUGUGAGCGCAUGGUGGAAAUCGAUCCGCGCGCGUGUCCGUGGCGCGCACGUGCCUCCGGACGGACGCCCUCGUGUCGUCGUGCUUUGCCUCGCCGCGCCGACCGACACCGGAGGCGGUCGAGCGCGCGGCCGGCGGGGAGUGAUCAAGAGGCGACAGCUAGCUAGCCGUGCAAGGACGUACGUGCGCUCGACGGAGCUACAGCAGGGAGGUUGCACGAGAGGCAGCUACGACGACUACGAGCCAAUUGAUCGUGUCAUCUGCAGCGGCCCCGUGCCUCCGAUCCAGCAGGAGAUCCUACAGCUCACGUACGGAGCAGGAACGGGCGCGCACAUCAGGCCGGCCGGCCAAGCGUGUAAUGAGCAGUGAAAUUAACACUGUGCGAUACAACAAUCGGUCGCUACGGAACGGCCAUGCAGGAUCGAUCAUCUAACGACGACGACGACGACGCUGCGCAUGGAACGGCCGGCCGGCGCUGCUGGCUCAUCACGUACGCUACGUAGUAUACGGCCUGCACACCGUGCACUGUAGUAAACGCGCGCACGCAUACACUCUUGAAAUGGUCGAACGGCACCUGCGCCCACGAGACCGGCCGGUGUGCCAUAGCCCUGGAAAACAAAGGAUUCUGGCGUGCCGACGACGGGUAACCACCCGUACACGGCAGCCGUGACGAGUACGCACAUCCGAUCCGAUCUCGACAAGACUUUAGGAAAAGAAGAGGAGGUCGUAUUCCACAUCAUUACGACACGGCCAAACUACGUAUCCUGGCUACCUAGCUACUACCUCACGCCGGCAUGAUGAUCAUUUGCAGCAGCCACUCAUGAGCCUCGACACACGCCGGCCCAAUCAUACCUUCCAGGUCUCUGGAAUUCUGUUGGAUCCAGAGCCUCUACGCUUCUCCUAGUAGAAAGGCUAGAGACACCAUAGGCAGACCAGAGGUCCUCUGGUUGGUUGAAAAACUGAGCAGCCAACUGCACUAUAUUUUUCAGGUCUGGACACCAGCAGUUAGGGCAGGCAUGGAUACGUGGCAGCUCGAUCGCCAGGCUGCUCGUUGCAGUGCUUUCAGACUAGCUGCUGAGCACCCAACAGUAGCAGCCACUGGGACAGGGGAGACAUUAGGCAUUAGGCAUAGCAUCUGCCCAUCUGCUCAGAGAGUUGGCAGGCACAGGCAGCACACAUAUGCAGUGCCUCGUGUAUUUUAGCUGAAGGGGCAAACAGUAGUAGGAUCAGCCUAAUCUGAUAACAUUGGCAUCAAGAGGGCUGAUGAAAUAUCACAGAUGUGUUGCAAAUGCUACAAACUGCAAAAAAGGAGAGUGGUUGCGUUUCAGCAUUAGAAUUCGUUUCCCAAAAUGUCCUGAUGCUAGGCAGACCAGAGGUCCUUUCGUUGGUUGGAAAACUGAGCAGCCAACUGCAUUCUGUUUUUCAGGUCUGGACACCAGCAGUCAGGGCAGGCAUGGCAGCUCGAUCGCCAUUCGCCAGGCUGCUCGUUGCAGUGCUUUCAGACCAGCUGAGCACUCUACAGUAGCAGACAUUGGGACAGGGGAGACAUUAGGCAUUAGGCAUAACAUCUACCCAUCAGUUCAGGGGGUGUUUGGCUCCCCUAGGCUAAAUUUUAAGCUCCUGUCACAUCGGAUAUUUGACACUAAUUAGGAGUAUUAAAUAUAGACUAAUUACAAAACUAAUUGCACAACCACAAGGCUAAAUCGCGAGACGAAUCUAUUAAGCCUAAUUAGUCCAUGAUUUGACAAUGUGGUGCUACAGUAACCAUUCGCUAAUGAUGGAUUAAUUAGACUUAAUGGAUUCGUCUCGCGAUUUAGUCUAGGGAUUCUGCAAUUAGUUUUGUAAUUAACUCAUAUUUCGUCUUCCUAAUUAACAUCCGAAGCUCCGAUGUGACAGGGUUAAAGUUCAGCUCUUGGUAUCCAAACACCCCCUCAGAGUGUUGGCAGGCACAGGCAGCACACAUCAGUGCCUCGUGUAUUUUAGAUUUUUAGCUGACGGGGCAAACAGUAGUAGCAUCAGCCUAUCUGAUGACAAUGGCAUCAAGAGGGCCGAUGAAACAUCACAGAUGUGUUGCAAAUGCUACAAACUGCAAAUGACAGCGGUUGCGUUUCAGCACUAGGAUUUGUAUCCUAAAAUGACCUGCACCUGCUACUGUGCUACAUGUGCAGCCUAACCAUCGCCAAUCCACGCAAAAGGGAGUCAGGUGUCCUAAUGCUAGGUGCAGUUCACCACUUCAGAUGAAAGACCUAGGCACCGAGUCUGGUGACUGGUGAGACUGUUCAAUAAGCUUCGCGUUCUUGGGUGACAUAUAGAAGGCUAGGCUUUUUUGAAUCCGUAGCCACAUCGACACAUCGUAGUACUUGCUGAGUACCCAUCAGUAGACCUUGGGAUAGGGAGACAAAGCAUCUACCCAUCAAUUCAGUUUGGCAGCCAAUAUAUGUACUGUCCGUUGUCUCCUUGAGGCCAAUAAUAACAGCAUCAGUCUACUCUGAAACGUUGACAUCAAGGUCAAAGUUGCUUUAUAAAUGCUACAUGCUGCAAAAAGGGAAUGGCAUCAAAACUGUUUUAGAUCCCAAGCGAACCAGCCAGAGACAACCCAACCAUCUGUGUUCAGUAGGAAGUUCUGCAGUCUGAUAUGUCUUUUGAUGUUGAUGCCUUGAUGUUAUGGUACAUUCAACUUGGGUAAAAUGAUACUACAAGCUAAGGUUCACCAUCUUGGGUGACAUAUAGGUAGGGGUCUUGAUCUGGUUGUGGGCAGUACAAAUCAUCUGCUGCCGACCAGGAAAGUGCUGCCACUGAGGCAUCCUCGUCGUUGUCAACAGCAAUGAGCUCUUCAUCGUCAGAAGUCGGUUCGGCAAAUGGUGCGUCCACGCUCUCCCAGUUCAGGUCAUCUCUGCAGAGAAGGCUAGGAUGUUCGCUGACCCAUUCAUCCAAAACAUUGAUGUUGUCCAGGCUGAUGGGAUCGAUGGUGUCCUUAAGCUUGUUCCUGCGUGACAGUAGUGAACUGUAAGUAGAAACUCAUGGUGGGAACUACACAUGAAAUUAUUCCAGGUUUUUAUACCUUUCUCGAAGCUUCAGAUUGUAACGAACAAAUACUAUAUCAUGUAACCUUGAACGUUCAAGCCUGCUUAGCUUCAUGGAAUGGAGAUAUUUGAAGAUAUCCCAAUUCCUUUCACACCCUGUUGCACUACAACAUUGGCUGAGGACUCGGACUGCAAGACUUUGGAGCUCUAGGGUUCCAUUACCGAAGUUGUCCCACCAUGCAACUAAUAAACAAAGAUGUAACAUUGUGAGGUUAAUGCAAAUAGAAAGGCAAACAUCGUUAUGUAAAAAACAUAGAUUCUUUCUCAUUAUUGCGAAAUUCAGAACCUCAGACACUGCCACAUUGAAUCAUAGCAUGGAAGUCAUUCUUACCUGGAUUAAGUUUCUGUCUUUGACGAACUGCAAUUGGAAGGCCAAAGUCACCUGUUGAUUUCUUGUACUCCUCAAGCUGGAGAAAUAUCUUAUCUUGGACCUCAACAUCAGGGACUAAACUAGCUAUUGUCUUCAUAAGCCCCCUAAAUGCAUAGCUUUGCAUCUUAAAAGAGGGGCUAAAGUAAAUACCAGGAUUGAAGAAGCAUCCUGCUCCAUGCAACGGACUAUGAAGCUGCUUCUCCAUCCUCGCAUCGAUCACUCGAACAUAUGGUCCAUACAGACAAGCCUUGUGCAUCAUCCUUGCCCUUAUUGACUCCUUUGCCUUUUCCAUUGCAUCAUAAAGAUAGCCCAUGGAAGGGUUUUCAUUACUAUCCACCAAGCGCAGGACGCGCAACAAUGGCUCAGUGACCUUAACAACAUGUUUGCACUGGGCCCAAAAGUCAACAUCUUUCCAAAUAAUAGCUGUGACAUCUUUUCCAACACCACCUUUAGCAUAAGUUGAUUUCACCCAUUUGUUGCUGGUAACCAUUUGGUGGAGCUCUUUUUCAAAUUUAACAAUGCAUUGGAGACUAAGAAAGUGAGUAGCAAAUCUCGAGAUGGAAGGACGACACAGAUCUCUACCAUUUGUGAAUUCUGUCCUCAUUAAAGACAAAGCCCAAGCAUGAUUGUAUAUAAACUUUGUUAUCUUUCUGGCUUUACCUAAAGUUUCAUCUAUCUUAGGAAAAUAUCUAGGAUCUGCAAAAUUCUCCAACAUUAAAUCAAUGCAAUGUGCCGCACAUGGAGACCAAACAAACGUGCCAUAUCUUUCCUCAAGAACCUUAACAGAAGCCUUAUAUCUUGGAUCUAUAUCAGUAAUAAACUGAACGAUGUUUUUAGGUCCAACUUCUCUAAUAACCUGAUCAAAUAUCUCAAGUAAAUCUUCCCUCUCUGUUGAGGUAUCUAUGGACUUCAAAAACAUAGUACCACAUGGACAGUAUACAAGAAAAUUGAUUAUGGAACCCUCUCCAUUGUCCUUUUGUCUGUCAGCAAUAAUUGAGCAACCACGAACACUCCAUUCUCUCUUAAGAUCAUUAAGAUAUUCAUGAAUGUCUUCAGCAAUAUGUUGCAAUAGUGGCUUACGUAGGUCAUGAUAAGAUGGUCCCUUGAAGCUCAGCCCAGCAGAUACUAUGGCUUCUAGCAUAGGCUGAUAGAAAGGAGAUUUAGCCGCACUGAAGGGUACAUUUGCGUCGUACCACCAUCUAGCCAUAGCAAUUUUUGCUUCGUGUAGCAGAUCAUUUGGAGCUUCUGCACCAUCCAUGCCAUGUUGAACCAUGUCUUCUGAAGCCAUAAAUGCACCGCUGCUAGGCUCUGAACCUGCAGCAGCUUGCGGAGGAAAGUACCCUGUUCUUCGCUUCCUAGAUGGUCUAAAUUGGCUUUCAGAGCCUCCUUCAGUUGAUAAAAUAUCAUGCGAAGAAUCUUCGAUACUUGAAACGCGGAUCUCUCUAAUUUCAUACCUUCUCUCUUCACUUUUCCACUUCUCAUCAAUUUGCUGUAUUAUCUGACGUUUCACAUCAGCAGGCACCUUCUUGCAAGAUUCAACUUGCCCAGGAAUUCCAGCAAGAUGAUGUUUAAAGCGAGUAAUACCGCCACCGCCAAUCUUUUUGCCACAAUGAAGACAUAUAAUGGCAUUUCUUGAAGCAGCAUCCACUUUUGCAUGAACCCAAGCAGGAUCCAGUGGUUUUGAAGAAGAUGAAGGUGAUGCCAUGGAGACGCCUCCAGUUGAUGCAGCACCAGCUACCUCAGUUCUAAUACUAGUACAGAGAGAACAACAAAAAAACUUUUAGAACUGUCACCAGAAGUAUUACCGGGCAUAAAUUGUGUAGCAUCACACCUUGUUCCAUGAAUAACCAAUAUAACUACAAGAGAGCAUGACACUUAUCAUAGCAUGUUAAUUCCAUUAAAGUACAUAUCAGCAAAUAAACUUCGCACUUGUUCUUGUGCAUGGCUUUACUGCACAUCUGUUCAAACUUUAGUAAAAAAAUGAAAUGGCGCAAGCCAAAAGACUUCUAUACAGUUAUUUUGCAUACAUCAUGCAAAAUCAAAAUCUUUAGCACCACAAAAGCAUGCACCAUGCAGACUUCUAUUUGUGCAGUUAACAAUGACGCUUUCCAUUACUAGGUCAGGCUAGAAAAAGGGGGGAUAACAACAAACUGAUGAUCGAUAAUUCAGUGUCUUCACUGUAACGAAGACCAAUUACCAGCAAUGCAGCCAAGAUUACAAUCCACGACUCCAUGGCUUCUAGAAGCACACACAAAACGGUCUUAUCGUCUCUGCUUGCAAGCAAUCCGGGUGGUAACCGGCGACACAUGACCGCUGGGAUGAAAACCGGCCGGUUUCGAUAAAUCAAGUCCAAACUCGAACUGGGAAAAUGGGAAGCGCUAAAUCGAACACUUCUCACCUCUCUCCAGGCAUCAAGCGGUCGAGGUCGACGGUUUCCUCCUUGGUGCCGAGCUCCCCCAGGCGGCAGAUCUGGUCGGCGAGGUCGGAGAGGAGGAAACCGGCGGGAAGCUGGGAGGAGUCGGCCGAGAAACCGGAAGUCAUCCACAGCGGCCGCUGGGCGGCGGCUACCGGCAGAGAUGGGCGAGGUUUUCGUGUGGAAUCGGGCGGCUACCGCGGCGGUUUUCCAUCGGGGCUGGCAGACUAUCGAUGUGGUCGACGAGGAGUAGAGGACUGGGGUGGAAACGGUUUUCACUAUUUCCGCGUCUCCAUUUGUGUAGCGCAAAGGGUAAAAUUGUCAAUGCUCAGGUAAUCAGGUGUUCCGGAGCGUAACUGAUUUUUGACUGCCCCAUGAAGCUAUAAUCGUUGUUGUCAGUUCUCUCUCCCAACUCUAAUAAGCUUGCAAUGAGUUGGGUUUGAGGUUUCGGUGGUGGGGGGUGUCUUCACUACAGUCAAGAUGAUGGCUUGUAAAGGAGCCUGAACAUGAUGAUGGAGGGCUUUUAAAGCAGCUACAAAACAGAACUUCUUUUCUUAAAAACAAGACCCAUAGGAUGUAAUUGGUGAAAAUAGACACUCAAAUCUAAGUUAAGGCUCAAAUCCAUGUGGUUGAGAUGCACAAGAGCACACCUCUCAUCCCAAUCAUGAGCUAAGCUCGCUUCCCAUAAUUCUUUUCUUAAGAGACCAUAUAGCAAAAAAUUUAUAACGGCAAAACUUAAAAAGUAAGGUGUACCUUUUGAUAACAUUCGAGAGGUUAAUAUGGACUUUAUUUCACGGCAAUGGCAAUCGCCAAACCAAUUGUUCAAACAUUUGCCUGGAAUUGUGUGAAACCUGUAGUUACAUGUACAGUAUUCCAGUGGAGUUUUCGUGGUUCUCCACAAAGAUGUAAAGUGUGCACAGUUUUUUUGUACUUGGCCCGUCGGGCAUUUCUCUUUUUCAAUAUAGUAGCAGCUCUCCUGCUGGCUCGUUUCAAAAAAAACAUUUGCCUGGAAUUGGCUAACAUACACGCUGAGCAAUGGACCUAACAGAGCCACCAUACAUAUAAAGCCUAGUAGAGGUAUGAUUUAAACCUUUGCUUAAAGCUUAUUAUAGUUGUUACAACGGUCCAUCAAAAUUACACAGGAGAAUUUGGCAAAAAUACAGGGGCAACAUGGCUUCCUGAUAACCAACUACUCCCACAAAUGCUGACCAACAAACGAAGAAAUUCAUGUAACUGAUUCUUCCAGAGCAAACUGAAAGGAAAAAAGCUCAGGUAAAGCAUCGCCAUCUGCUGAAAUUCAGGUUGCCGUUCAUGUUGGUGGCUGCCAAGUCCCUGGUUUAAAAGUGGCACCAGUCCCUGUUGGUUCGGAAGUCCUGUUGAGAGAAAAGAAAAACUUUUGAGUUUGAAUCAAUGUAAUCAGAUGAAGAUAAUAGCAGUUCAUUUCUUCUCAUUUAGCUCCUACAUCAGCUAGAGCAAUGCAUAAGUCUGUCCACUUUCUAUACUUUUGCUUUCCGCAAUACCCGAAACAAAUUGGGAAGAUUUGACCUAGGUGCCCAUAAGAUAUGGUCAGAUCCAGUAUCUGCCACCAUGAUACUAUUAAUCUAUUAUAUCCGACUUCAGUUUCAAACGCUCAGAAGUUAAACUCUGUUUCUAUCUCUGAAUUUUGUAAAUUUACUUUGGUAUGCAUGUUCCUUGCAAACACUGUUUUACACAUAAAUAAACAGCAUAAUUGUUUUAUGCCAGAAAAUUGCAAAACCAUGCUGAAUGUUUGAAGGUAGAUAUAGCAAAAAAGAAGGCAGAAGAGCAUAUACUAGGUAUGUGCUGGCACUAUUGACUUCAAGAAGGGAUCAUAGUAGAUAACAUGUCAUCACAAAUUACAGCAUUUGCAGAGAAAAGGUUGAACUGAAAUUUCACCUCUCAUUAUCUGUUGUAGAAUCUUCUGUAUCAGUUGCAUCCUUAGGCCUAGAUACCUCCUCAGGCCCUUAAAAAAAUGUGGACGGAAAUGUCACCAUGCUUGUCAAAAGUAGCCACACUUACAUUCCUAGUCAGAACAUUAUGAAAAGAUAUAAUGUUACCUUUCUGUUGAUCUAGAGUACCAGGGAACUGCUGCUUCACAAAACUCUGGAGAUUUGGAGAUUCAUAUUUCCCUGCAUUUGGAGGAACAUCAAUUAUCAAAAAAUCAUUAGUGAAAAAGGUAAGGGCAAUAUGAGAUCUCUUUCCCUCUUCACCAACAUAACAGAGUGAAACAACACAGGAAAAUUAAUGAUAAUACAGGUCAUAGUAUAUCUAUCAAAUAUCAUGGAAGGGUAUGACAUCAAGUAUUGGAUUUCCUUUCUUCAAGUUUCUUGUGGGCAAGAAAAAACUAAGCAGCACAAAAAGGUAAAAGAAACAAAGCAUUUGUCUAAAAGUGGUGCUGACUGUUGCAGACAGGAAGAAUGCUAAAUAAUACGUUGGAGAAAAUCUACAGAAAGCUAAAAGUGCAGAUAAGCAAGGAUUUAAGUAACAAUUACGAGAAAGAACAUACCAAUUUUCUUGACUGGUCGGAGGCCGGCCUUUCUUUCCUCCUCUUCUUUCUUUUUGAGAACUUAAUUGAAUACAUAUUAAACAUAUCAGUGGAGAAACACACAAGUUAAUGCCCAUUAAGUAAACAACAAGAUGGAGUCAUGAAUAACCAAGACUAAUGUAGAACUAAAUAUGCUGCAUCUUGAUCUUGAAGAAACAACAAUUCAGUAAAGAGGUUGUCACACCACAACAGGAGCAAACGGAUGCCGGUAUGAAUAAGAUCUUAAACUGCAGUGCAACUAGAAUGAAAAAAAAAUCACAAUGCAAUAUGUAUCCAGUAAAUAACUUUAAGGUCAUUGUAGUCUCCCCCAAUCCCCUAUUUUCCACUACAUUGAUGGCAGGAUUGCAAAAUUUUGCAGUGGCAAAUAAGGAAUUGCCCAAUACCAUAAAUCAGCAAGCUAGGAUGUACCUCAUAAAACAUGUCAGAUUCUUGCUCAACAGCAUGCAUAAUGGACGGUGAGGCUUACUAAUGAAAGCAUAGGUGAUUUUACAAGUAGGAAACAUCAGAUACAUACGUUCAAUGUUUUGCUUGACACGUUCACGUCUCGCCUCCAGCUCAGCCAAUUCCUAAAUGAGAAAAUGGCGCAGCGAUACAUCAGCAUCAGAUGCAAUGAGCAAGUUGCUCUCCUUGCUAAGUUUGAAUUGAUAAUAAUAAAAGCAAAAAAUUGAAGAACAAUGCCGGUGUCAUGCUUCUGCUCUUACUUCUGGCGUUGGAGCUUUCUUCCUUUGGCCAUUCAACCAGCAAAUCCACUCGACUACAACAAGCACGACAUAGCUAUGAGAUGCUGUUUACACACUCAACAAUAGAAUUUAGAAUCAAGGCCACAAUCCAUACAUGCCUGCAAAAACGUAGUGGCAUACCAGUUAAUUGGGAAUUUUCAGUCAAACAACAAAUCCUCACCGGACAAAUGGAGCAGGAAGGGAGGUAGGUAACCUGGAACGGUGGUCGAGUCCUGGUCGGCGCCCUUGAACUCCACCCACCGCCUCUCCUUCACUGUUCCCGUGUUCCGCCGUCGAGAAUGACAACAACAAGAAGAAGCAACACCGAGAUUUGCUUAGCCCAAUUCAUGUGCCUUCUGCCCUCCUCCUUUUUCAGAGGAGAUCAAGAGCGGAGAAACUAGAAGCAAUUUCGUGCCAGUAGGGGGGAGCAGGGGAGAGGAAGGGGACACGUACUGGCGCCGUCGACCUCCUCGACGCGGGUGAAGUAGCGGUUGCCGGUCUUGUCGACGCCCACCUGCGUCCGCGACUGGAACAUCCCCAGUAGCCGCGAAACCAGCCGCUUCGACAUCGCCGCUUUCGACUCUGCCCUGCUCCCGGCUUGCUCGAAUAGGUCGCUGCUUCCCCCUCUUCGCCGCCUGCGGCUCGCCGGAACCGGUCGCCACCUCCACCUCCGCUGGCCGCCGCCGGCUUGCGUAUCAGUCUGACCCACAGGCCACAGACCGACACCAUCGCUCAACUGGGUGGGGGCCAAAGUGUCGAGCUGGGCCAUGUUUGGGCCGUUCCAGAACAGGCCUUGCGGCCCGACACCACAUCGCGGGACGUCGGGCAGAUUGCUCCCCGCAGUCCCGCUUGAUCGAUCGUGCCAUGGCGAUUCUGCAGCUGAAGCGGCUCAAGGCGAUGCGGCGGCGGCAGCAUCUUCGCCGCCAUCGAACCCAAGCCCGCGGUAUGCUUCCUAGCCUCUGUCCCUUAGGGUUAUUUCUAGGUUUUUUUUUAUCUUUGUUCUCUUUGCGCGCGCGUGCCAUGGCGUCUGUUCAGAUUAUUGCUCCGCAGUGACCACGCUUGGGGGAGAUUGCCAUGCUGUGCUUGGCUUCUCCAGAUUAUCACAGUUGAGAUGUUUUUCCUCUUUUCAACCAGUUGGGUGUCGUAAAAUUGUUUGUGUUAGGCUUAUGGCGCAAAAGCUCGAUAGAGUAAACAAAUCAGUGUACUGAUCUAUAAAAAUCGGCGUGUUUGAUUUCAUUUUUCUUCUUCGGUUAUUGGCUAAACUCUAUGAUAACUGUGAUGCAUCGCACCUCAGAUGGAUCGGUUGUUUCCGUGGCCACAAGAAAGGGCUUGCCUUGUGGUCAAGAUGGUAAGUCUCGAGGAGGCAAAAGAACUAGAUAUUCAAGGCACACAAUUCCUGAGGUAAGGCAUAAAUGUGAAACAAUGUUUGCAACUUUUGGAUGGCAUUCGACAUAUAUGUUCCCCAAACUUGCACAUGAAGCUUACAAAGGGCAAAUGGAUAUCAUAACCUUUGUAUGGAGAAAGCCAGAUAUCUCCAGCUGUUUAUUUGCAGAAUGUAUGAAAUCAAAAUGUCUCUGCAUCAAAAAAUAUUUCUUUUUCAUGGUAGGCAAUCUUGUGAGGUUUCCUUCAAGUUGUGCCACCAUUUGAAUCCAGUGUUCUCAUGGUGCCAGAAGCUUUGAGAAAUAUUGGACGGAAACCUCAAAAAACUGUUUGGAAUGCAGAAAAAAGGUUUUCAUACAUGAAGAAACAAAUUAAUAUCAUAACUCCUACUGAGAAAUGCAUACCUGCAAGUUUUAUACAUCCAUCGUUUACAGUAGAAUGCAUGGCUUUAAUCAUCCAAACUUGAGGCGGUCAAGCAUAUCUGUUAGUUGAAAUUUAUUUGUCUUUUACUUAACGAUUUUUUUUACUUCGAGAUAUAUAAAAUUUUCAAAAAAAUGUACUGCAGCAAGCCCUGAUAACACCUUCUGAAGUUGUCAUACCCUUAAAGUGCAAUUUGUUCUUAGCCUUCUUCUGCAUCUAACACAUGUAAUCAUUUGUCAGCAUUAUAGCAACUCUUAGGAAGUAAGUCCAGCGUAUUAUCAUAAAAAUGAAGUAUGUUUCCUUGAUACUUUUCACACCAAUAAACAUUCUUAUGUGGUUCAUAGCCUGAAUGUCAUCAUCUACCAACAAUACUACUCUGAACAUGUGAUGGCCACACAACUUUGCAAAUGUGUCUAGUUACAGUAGCAGCGCUAUCAGCAUUGUGUUGUUCUCCAUAGAGCACUUGAGACAUUUUUUAUUUCAUACAUGAACUUCAUGUUGGUUUAACCUUCCUAUUGAAGUAACCAUGAGCUUGUACAGUUUCAUCAAUGGAAAUUUCUCCUAUGGUUGUGUUUGCAGGUUGCUUCAUAUACAUUCUUUAUUGCCACUUCGAGAUGCUGCCCGUGCUGCUUCUGUAUCUCGCGCAUUUGUAAAUUCCUGGAGGUGUCAUCCUAACCUCUACUUCAGUAUGAAAACUCUCGGGUUGAAUGCAACCCUACAUGGACAUGAUAAAACAGAAGACAAAUUCAUUAAAAUUAUUUAUCACAUUCUGAAAAUGCACUCAGGUAGUGGCUUGAAGACAUUUGGGCUUGAAAUAUAUGGUCAUUACAACUCCUGUCAUCUCGAUAGCUGGCUUCACCUUGCUCUUACAUCAGGGCUUGAAGAACUCAUCCUUAAGUUGGGAAUGCCAAAUUACAACUUUCCAUGCUCACUUUUACCUGGCAAGAGUAGAGACUCGAUAAGGAAUCUUUGCCUUAGCUUCUGCACCUUUCGUCCUACGGCUAGACUUAGCUUGAGAAGCCUGAAGAAGUUAUAUCUUAGUUAUGAGUACCACGGGUGAUGAGUUAGGGUUCCCUUCCUUCUAUCAGAUUCUUUUGCUUUGGAGAGGCUGGAACUCCUGCACUGCAGUGACAUAUUUCACCUGAAGAUACCUUACGUGCGGCAGCGGCUCAGCCACCUGGAGGUGAAAGCAUGCCAUAGUCUGAAGGUGACAGAAAUCAAAGCUCCAAAUCUGUCCACUUUUCUUUUCAAAGGCAAUGACAUUGUACAACACUCGCUGGGAGAAGCAUGCCAAGUGACAAACCUAUACAUGUCUUGUUACGAUGCCAUCCAUUUUGCUCGUGUCGACCUUCCGCUCAUCGCACCAAAUCUCGAAAUUCUUACCAUUGAGUCACCCAGCGAGGUACACUCUAAAACUUAUCGCCACUGUAGACUAGAAACAAGCAUAUAGUGGUAACAAAGCAGUCUUUAUUACUUGGAACUAACUUGAGAACCUUUAUGCAGGAGGUCAGUAAUAUAGCAAUUCUACCCAGCACAUUCCACAACCUGAAGUACUUGGAUGUUUGUGUUCCUGGAGAAUUCGUUGUCCCAGACUAUGAUUACUUUUCUCUGGUUUCUUUUCUUGAUGCUUCUCCUUUCUUGGAGACUUUCAUCUUGGAUAUAUAUGUAAGUAAAUUUUCAUAUUGCAAUUUGCAGACAUACCUAAUGACUAGUGAAUCGACUCAAGUAUCUUGCAUUCUCUUAUCUUUAGUUGCCAACGGUGUUUGAGGAUCCUGAAUCAGUUCUUGGAGAAGCCUCACAUAUGCGUCGGAUGGCAGAAGUACACCAUAGCAACCUCAAGAGGGUGAAGAUCACCAAUUUCCACCCCACGAAAUGCCUGGUUGAACUGAACAUGUCAUAUUCUUGAGACAGCGGCAUCGCUUCAAUGCCUUGCAUUGGAUACCUCUUGCUGUUGCGGCGAGAAGUCUUACAGCAAAUCUGGCAAAUGCUUCAUCUUGGCUGUCGGAGCAUACAUCAAGGGGAAAGUUCCCUCUACAGCUAGGCUAGAUUUUCCGAAGCCUUGUACGUACUUCAGAUGUCAAGUUAUCUUUUUGAGGAAACAGGAGCCCCUCUAGACGUCAAGUUAUCAUUGCUAUAAAAUGCUUAAUAAUGAGGUAAUUUAAAAUAUGGCUUUUGUAUCUGCUUGCUAAAUUAUCACUAGUCAAGUUCAGAUGGCUUUUUUAUCUGCGUCUUUGUUUGCCUCGUACUAGAAUUUUAGUUUGGCUUUGGCAGCAUUUCAUGCACCACCUACAUGGAUGCAAUAUUUUUUUUGUUACUUGUGUUUUCUAGACGUGCAAUAUCUAUGACAAACAUAAAAUUUCUUUUCCACCUACCUUUUGCUCAAAUAAUUGCGGUCCUAGCCUUUUACACGUGGCCACAGCUCCGUGGUGUCAUCAGUUAUGCUGGUAACAAGAGUAUGUCUUUACGCCAACACCAUAGAGCAAGUGUACUCUAUUCAUAUGCCGUCUUCGCCAUACCGCACCGACGCAGGGCCGCACCGCACCGCACGCAAGUUGGUCGUCUGGUUUCGUCACCCACCGGGUCGCACGCACCACCGCCAGAUCCAAACCUCCCCGGCACGAGACGAGGAGAUCGGGAUGGAGCUGGAGGUGGGGGCGCCUUCGCCGGCGAGGUACCUGCUGGGGGCGGCGAUCAUGAUGGCCGGCGUGGUGCUGCCGCUGGCGUACAUGAUCUUCCGCAGCAAGCGCUCGCCGUCCUCCUCCUCCUCCUCCGCCGCCGCCGGGCCCUCCUCCUUCUCCAAGCAGACGUAGGUGUGCUCUGCCUCUCUUCCUUCCCGCGCAUCUAUCUACCCUGAGACGGAGACGGAGACGGCGGUGACCGUGCGUCAGGUCAUUGCGCUCGCUUUAACUGAUGAUCCGCGACGCGCUCUUGUUUCAGGAACAAGGGGCUCAUCUGAUCUGCUUCUUCCCCGAUGGAGGUGUGAUGGGCGGUGUGGAUUAGUGAGUGAGGGGUGGAUCGAUAGCGUCCCUUGAUGAUUGUAUUUCUCUGUUUUGGCUUACUGAGAAUCUGCAACUACCCCUCGAGAUUGGGCAUCAUCCGAAACAUCCAAUUAUUAGCUGAUUUCCUGAUUAGUUAGCUCCUCGUGUAUCCCAGAAUGCUUGCUUCUUUGACUGAUUUGAUAUGGUUAUAAAUGAAGAGUGCACUUUGACUACAUACAAGCAGUAUUCAUAGAAAUUUUGAUUUGGCACAACAAGUAAUUUGCCCUCUUUUCUGCGAACUGGCUGGCUGGAUUGUUACGACAAUUGUGUGGAGUUCUUCUUUAUGUUAGUACUAUAUUAGUAGUAUGGCAAGGAACAAGAUUCUUGUGCACUCGUGCGAUUCAUUCAUUUGCAUUGUCAGCCGUCAGCUCAUGAUGUUGUGGAUGAAUGCAAACCAAAUUGUAUCUAUGCUUGUUGCUUGGUAGCAGAAGAUAUGGUUUUUGCAUUGGUAGAUUGAACAAUAGAAUGGAGUUGCAUUCUGGCACAGCUCCUUACCCUUCUGUUUGUUAUCAUGUCACUUCCAAUAUUUCUCUUUUUUGGCUUACCCGGUAGUCUGCAAGUACUCCUUGAGACUGGGUGUCAUCAGAAACAUUUCGAUUACUACCAUUUCCUGAUUAGUUAGCUCCUCUUCUAUCUCAGAGUGCUUGCUUGUUUGACUGAUUUGAUACAGUUAUAAAUGAAGAGUGCACUGUGACUACUUAAAAGCAGUAUUCGAACAAAUUUCGAUUCGGCGCCACAAGUCAUUUCCCCUCUUUGCUGCUGACUGGCUGGAUUGUUAUGACAACUGUGUGGAAUUAUUCUUUAUGUUAGUACUAUAUUAGCAGUAUGGCAAGGAACAAGAUUUUUGUGCCAUCCGUUCAUUUGCAACAUCAGCUCUCAGCUCAUGAUGUUGUGGAUGAAUGAGAACCAAAUUGUAUCUAUUCUUGUUGCUAGGUAGUCAGAAGGUGUGGUUCUUGCAUUGGCAGAUUGAACAACAGAAUGGAGUUGCAUUCUGGCACAGCUCUUACCUUACCCUUAUGUUUGUUACCAUCUCUCUUUUUUGAACCAGAGUUUAUUACCAUUUUCAUUUCCAGUAGCUGAUACAUACAUUUUUACAAGUUGUUUGUUGUCUGACAAUGCAUGCGACAAGACGCGCCUUGUAUUUGACUUCUUUUCACAACUUGGGGUCUUAGCUCUUAACAAUUUAAUCGUUUGUGUUCUUGCACAGAAGUUAGAGUAAACAAAUCGGUGUGCUGCCCUAAAACAAUCAGUGUGCCUGAUUUUGUUUUUGCCCUUAAGUUAUUGGCUAACCUCCAAAAUGCUUCCUGCGUGUCUCUUGUAUUUUCAGAAUUCCUGGAGAUGUCAUCCUAAUCUGAACUCCAGAAAGGAAACUCUGGAAUUGAAAGCAAACCGAUACAGAAAAGCCGAUCAGAUUCUGAUAAUGCAGUGAGGCAUUGGCUUGAAGGCAUUCGGUCUUGCAAUGUGUACUACGAUUGUUACAACGUUGUUCUUGUCAUCUCGAUAGCUGGCUUCACCUUCCUCAGAGCUUGAAGAGUCCAGCUUCAUGCUGCUCCACAUGCCAGAAUACAACUUGCAUGCUCACCGUUAUCCAAAAAAUAAAAAAACUUGCAUGCUCACCAAUUGCUUUGACAUCGCCCCACGCCUCUUCGCUGUUCUCGUCGUCGUAAUCAGUCGCCGACGCUCGUCGCCGGUCCGGUCGCCGCCUCCUCUCGUGGCGACCGGGCUUAUGUGGUGUGACCCAGUACAGCCCAAGGUCCUGUUUGUAUACGCUUUUCUGGAACUUGCUUAUCUGGCAAGCAGGUUUAUCAGAUAAGUCUGCUGUCUGGAGAAUUCGCUGUUUGAAUAAGUUGGAUGUUUGGCAAUCCUGAUUAUUUUAUGUCGAUUGUCUGUCCUAACUGGUACAUUGACCUGAGUGCUCCUAAAGCUGAUAAUAGCUUAUUUUGUUGUGAAUCUAAGGAGAAUAUAAUAAUUCUAAUAUCUUUGGAGUUUAUUAAAUAGAAAUUGCAUUACAAUAAUAUGAAAUUCAUACGAUAGAUAGAUCAGUCUAGUAUGGAAACAUUUAUCAUGGUACAGUAACGAAUUACGAAACUAUAGCGACAACAAUAGCAUCACGUAAUGCAUCCAUAUCCAUGUCAUCUUCUAAAGCAACACCCCCACCAUCUGUGCUAGGUUGGGUUGGAUUAGCAUCAUCUUCAUGAAAAUUCUGUUCAAAAUACACGUCAUGUAUGGCACUAUCUCUGAUGAAAUUGUGAAGAGCCAUACAAGCAACUAUAAUUUUGGUAGACGGAGCCGGCGCCGCUCGAAGGACGGUGGAUGCAUCCGGCGGCGGACGGGGUCGGUGGCGGGCGCGGGAUCGAGAUGGCGCGGGGGGCGGAUGGCAGGGACGCAGGUGUCGGUGGGGUGAGGGUAGCGAGGAAAAUCGCUUCGUUUGUGCGAGAAGCGCCCCCGAGACCACGUACGGGAUAGGUGGUGCCCAGAUUGUGGGCUAAACGGAAGGUGGAAAUAAGCAAUACGUUUAUAUGAGCUUAUGGCUUAUUUCCAUUGAUAAACAGGAAAUAAGCUGAUACAAACAGGCCGCAAGACUGUUAUGGAAACGUGGGAAAAUGGGCUUGGUCGUGGUUGGGCCGUUUCUUGAAGAGGGCCUAGUGGCCUCCCUGCACAUCCCAGACUCCCAGUGACCUCUCCCUGCACUUUUGUCCUUGUCGGGAGACCCGGGACGGGUGUCGCGGGGCGGUCGCCGGUCGGCAGAGCUCGCACAGUCCAAGGUUCCUUCCGCAGGCCGAGGGCCCCACUCGGCGGCGCCGGAGUCGUCUCGUCUCCUCCGCCCUCGCUCCUCCGAAAGCAGGGAGAAGGGGGCGGCGGCGGGGAACCGUCACACCACGGGGAAUCGACUACAUUCUGCCGCGCUGACCGUGACAUGGCGAUGCUGGCGCUGAUGAGGCUAGUGGCCAUGCGGCGGCGGCGUCGGAGGCAGAAACGCCAGCGACGGCGUCGAAUCCAACCCCGCGGUAUGCUCCCUUGUUCCCUCGUCGCUAUCUCGGUUUCAGAAAGUUCGAAUAUGUGCGCGUCCCAUGGCGACUAGCCGACUAUAGCUUGUUCAGGUAGUGCUCCUGCUCCACACUCCACAGUACUCCAUUUUGGGGGAGCUCGAGCUUCGAAAAAAAGAACUACAUUUUGGGGAGAUUGCGAUGUUCUGCUAAUUCUAUAUCACUUUGCGGUUCAUCCUUGUGAAGCCUGAGUCGUCCCUCCCUCCCUCUCUAAGAAAGGGUCUUUACAGAGUUGGAUAGGGCAAAUUAGAUGCCUCUUGCCUGGUGCAUCGUUGCGCUUGGUCCCGUUGUUUCAAUUCGGCAUGGGCUGCACUCUAUGAUAACCAUGAAAAAUUGUAUUUUCAGAUGGAUCCAUUGCUACAGGGGCUGCAAGAGAGGGCUCACCCUGUGAGCAAAAUGAUAAUUCUCAAGGAGGCAAAACAACGAGAUAUUCAGGGCCCACCCUUCCAGAGGUAUGGCAUUAAAUGUAAAACAUUUGUUGCAGGUAUCAUUGGGAAUGCUUGUUCUGUGCAAUUUUGGGUUGUGAGAGACAAAUCUUUGAGAUAGUGUUUGCCAUUUCUACGGUGUUCUCAUAAUUACUUACCCAUACAAUUAUAGGUGCAUCAGUGCAUGUUGAUAGUGUGAGGGGGGGGGGGGGGGGGGGGGGGGACAAUACGCUCUAGGGAUUUCAUCACAGUUGGUAUGAAAUUAGUAUGUUUCAACAUGUAUGAAACUUUUAUCCAUAGUAGACAAUCUUUGGGGGAUUCCUUCUAACAUUACUCAGCAGGAUAUGUUGCUCUCAUGGUGCUUCCAUCAAGAUCAAAUUUUCAUUGGGGUUACCUUUGGUUUUGAAAGAAAAUGCCAUUAAAAAUCAACUAAAUGUGUUCUACUCGGGAGAAGUAUGUAUGAAGCGCUUACCUGACCAUUGUUCACGUGUCUCAUUUUUUUCCAAUUCAUUGAUGAUCUUCAAGCAUCUGAUUUAUAGUUAUGGACACAUGUGGAUGCUAAUUAUGAGUUCAGUGUUAGAUGUAGGUUGUUAUUUAUUUAGAAAAAAUAGGGAUGUACAAUGAUUAGUUAGACAUUCCAUAUAUAUUUGUUGUGAGCUAGGUCAUUUACUGCAAGUUUUUGUUACAAUGGCAACCUCUGUAUGAAGAUUUUCACUGACAAAGAAAAUACGAUGAGAUGUUAGACUCGAAGGGUGCCACAAGCUUUGGAAAAUGUUGGAAGUACCAGAAGAUUGUACCAUGCUUGAGAAGAUUUCAUUCAAGCAGAAAUAGAUUAGGCUCAUACUUUCCAUGAAGCCUUGAGGUUUCACUUUUUCCUUGCAUGGUUGUGCCAUCUAUACACCCUUUGGCGACACAUAUAUAAAGAGUACUCUUUUUCCAUAAAAUAUUACAAAUCUCAAGGCAAUUCCAACAAAUGAGGAUAUCCAUAACUGACCUGAGUUUUGCACUUAUGCUAAUCUUUUUGGCUGUGCAUGCCACUGGGAAUCUGUAUGCAUACUACAUAUCUCUUACUAGGUCUGUAUUUCAGAUUUUUUGUGUGACCCCAUAAAGCAGUGAGCUGGAUCCAGUACAUUUCAUCCUCUGCAGCACAUUACCAAAUUUUAAAAAAAGCAUGGCUCAUUCGUUGUUGUAAAGUGUGCUUCCUUGAUAUAUACAGUAUCAUUAAGCAUUCCUUUGUGGCUCAGGUUAUUCUCCUUUAGUGUACAUCUUGAUCUCUAGUGGUAUGUGAUGCUCAUUCAACUUUGAAGAUAUGACUAGUUAUGGUAGCAUCUCAGCCAAAAUCUUUAUCCAAUCGAAAAGCAGCCAUGUAUUAUUUAGUCACAGUGCCUGUUCUUAGGCACAAGACCGAAGUCACCUUGUGGCCCAUAGUAAGCAUUUGUUUAAGACAACAGGUUAUGAAAAUGCAGUCAAUCAACAUCAGUUGCAAGAAAUUUGCAUAAGACUUUAUAAAGUCUCUAGCUUCAGAUACAUGAAAGUGUAAUAAAAUGGUUGCCUUUGGAUUGGUGAUAGCAUUAGGUUGGCUAGCUGAGGGCCUGUUUGGAAGACAGGGAUUUUGCAGGAAAAUCAUGGGAAGGGCUACAAACUGAACUUGUCAUCUACAUUUCAAGCAAUACACCUCUUUGACUUGCUGCAUCUUUGACUAGUAGAUACUAACUCCUUAGCUACUUGACGAUCUUGACCUCCAUGCCUGUCGUACGAACAGAUCAUGUGGUCAUUACCCAGAACUAGAUACUAAUAACUCUGCCAAUAGAAUAUUUUCCCCACAAUCCUACUCUUGUACAGUGCUCAGUCUACAUGCUAGAAGCAUGCUUUUACCUCUGUAUUGGAGCACGCAUUGUGUUAAUUUUGUAGGUCACUUGAGAUAGAUCACUACUCAAUAUAAUCAUAGUUGUCUUAGUUUUAUGAUUGUAGUAACCAUUGCCUCAUACAGUUUAAUCGAAAACUUUCCCUAUGGUGUGCAUGCAGAGCAUCUUGUAUCAUAUACAUUCUCUAUUGCCACUUAGAGAUGCUGCCCGUGCUGCCUGCAUGUCUCACAAUCCAGAGGCCUCGAGGGAAGGGUAAAGCGGCGAGACCCCCGUCGCCUGAACCUAAGGUGGAGGAGGAGGAGGAGGAGGAGCUACCUUCCGCACACGCCUCUGGGGACGACGAGGAGGAGGCGGAGGAGGAGGAGCAGCAGGAGCAGGAGGGGGACGGGGACGGGGACGGGGAGGCAGGGGAUGCCCAGUCCAAGAUAUGGUUGCAAGGUUCCUCAUCCCUCCCGAAGCGUCCGAUACCUGAGCAUUUACGCCCGCUGAUUAAACCGGUUGGGACCAAGUAAGUAACUUUAAAUAUUCUUAAUAAUGUUCUUAUGUUGAAAGUUACAAAAACUAAUAAUUUAUAUUAAUGACUUGUGCAGGAGUUGGAUUAAGCUCAGUGGGGGUGACCACAACCGUAAGGCCAACGGGAUCCUUGGCCUUUUGUGCAGGGUUCACUUCCCUGGCUUGGUGGUGUACGCUGGACAGCAGCAGCCGGCCUACACAUGGGACCACUACGUCGCCGCCCCCGACGUCCCUGUUGACAGAGGAGAUUCCCCAACAUCGCGGAGCGGGUCAAGGCCGAGCUGUGGGUAAGUACUCCUCGCACUAAAUUGCUCAAUACAUCACCUACGUUCGACAUUCUUGAAAUAAUAAUUGUAUACGCGUCUAUAUGCAGGAUUUCUAUAGAUGCCAGGAGGGAUUUGAGGCCAAGGCGAAGGCCGUCUGUGAUGUAGCCGUCAAGAAGCUCGUGAAGGACAUGCAUUACGAGGCGCGCAUCCAGGCCAUCAUCGAAUUCCACGCUCAAUACAGAUGGAUGAAGGUUAGAAAAGAGGAGGCAAGAACAAUGAACCUGACUAAGGACCAAUUCAUGAGGGUAAGUAAAGAACGUUGAUACUUACUAUUUAAGAUUAAUUAGGCUCAAUUUCUUUUUCAUAUGUCACACGCUUGAUGUUGUAGGUGCCUCCGUGGUGGUGUCGUGCGCAUAUCCAGUGCUGGGAGAAGAUGGUCGACGUGUGGUUGGAGCCCGGGUGGUUGGAGAACCACCUUGCUUGCCGGCAGCGGCGUUUGCAGAUACCGACUGCACCACACCAUCAAGGCAGCCUAAGCCUUGAUGAAUAUAGAGAAAAAUGGGUACGCAACUUCAAUUCUUUAUUCUUACGUUCAGUUCUACAUAAUUCCUAAUCAUUUUGUAUUUUUUGCCGCAGUCGGCGUCGCAUGAUGGCCGACCUUGCUCCCAGCUCAAGGCAUGGGUCCUCUCCAAAAAGGGCAAGGCGACGGCCGAUAUCGAUUUCAACCCAGACGACCCGUCCGAGGCGUACAGCCAUCCUAGCAUACACAGUCGCGUCAGCGAGUAUACAAAGAUGGCUAGGGAGGUUCACGGGCCAGACUUCGAUCCGAGCUCCGAGGACAUUGAUGGAGAAAUCGUGAUGAAGGUGGGAGGAGGCAAGAAGCAUGGUCGAUAUUGGAUUGGCGAUGGCGUAAUCGACAUGGCCUCUACUCCCUCUCUCUCCCAAAUCCGAGCUAGGAGCACGGACUUGAGCCCGGCGAUACAGCCACGACCCACCACUUCACAGUUGCAGAUGGAGGCUCUCCAGGUUCUUUCUCUUCCAUUCAUUUUUCGUUUGUUGUUAUACUUUAGCUUUGCAUUAUAACAUUGCAAUGAAAUAUUGUAGGCCCAGGUGGAAGAAGCAAGGAAGAAACAAGAGGAGAUGGUGGCGCAGAUGGAGGAGAUGCGGCGGAGGAUGGAGGAAGAAAAUCAGAUUAGGAUGGAGCAGAUGUUCCAGUACAUGCAGAAUUUUGCUUUGAGCAUGGGUCAGUCUUUGCCUCCGCCACCGCCGAUGUUGUUCCCUCCGCCUCAGCCAUCCACGACUACUCCUGUAAGUCACUUGACACAUUGUGCUUAAGAUUCAAUACUUUAAUUUUGACAACUUUAGAUGUUAGCUCAGAAUGUCCUAUCCUAUGUGCAGAAUCAAUCGGUGGCUUCGAAUAAUGAAGAUCAAGAUUUGUCGCAGUGGUCUCCUUAGCCUCCACGGAACUAGACUUGGUUGAAACUAAAUACUAAAUUGUGACUUGAACUUGGAUUUUUUGAUUGUUUCGUGCUUAUGUUGAAUUAUGCCUGUGAUGUUUAUGAAUAAUGUUUCUAAUGGUGGUUGUGAAUUAUGCAUGUGAUUGUUUAUUACAAAUGUCUGUGAUGAUGUGUAUUGUGAAUUGAGAGGGGUUCGUUAUACGUGACAAAACGGGAAAAAAAGGGGGGCUCUGGGCACUUUGCCGAGUGUUUUGGCUUUAACACUCGGCAAAGGGGCCAGUCCCAGGUCCAGGCGCACCUUGUUUGCCGAGUGUUAUGGACACGACACUCGGCAAAGGGUCUCUGUUUGUCGAGUGUAGGCACUCGGCAAACACCAGGGCUUUGCCGCCACUCGGCAAAGCCCUGGUGUUUGCCGAGUGCCUACCGUCUGGCACUCGGCCGGUAGGUACUCGGCAAACUUGCCGUUACCCCCGACGCCGUCAGCGCCUAUUUCGCCGAGUAUAUCCUUUCGCCGAGUGUUUUUUAGCCGUCGGCAAAAUGUUUGCCGAGUGCUCGAGUUUUGACACUCGGCAAAGUAGUCUUUGCCGACACAAAAUUUACCGUGUGCUGUUUACCGAGUGUAACACUCGGCAAAGCCUUGCCGAGUGUUUUCAUGUCUUCGCCGAGUGCCUGUAGCACUCGGCAAAUUGUGUGUUUCCCGUAGUGGGUAUAUGCUUGGCAUAACCAUGCAAAGUGAAAAACAAGACUUGUAGGCAUUUUUAUUUUCACAGUAUGCAUGAACUGAUACGUUUCUCUAUCGAUGAACACAUGGAAGAUAAUCCUUUUUAUGAGGUUUUAUUCAGACAUUUCUUAAAGUUUGUGCCACCCUUUGAACGUGGUGUUCUUAUCCGGGAACAUCAUCCUUUUGUCUAAAGGAAUAUGGCGUUCUCAUGGUGCUUCACUACUCACUCGUAUGAUGCUAAAUUUUUAGCAUGUGGAUUAUGCUGAUCUCCAUGUAUCUUAACACAACUGUGCGUGAACCAAAUUUGUUGGCCAUUAGUUAGAACUAGCCAUAAAUAACAAUUUUACGAAAAUAAUACUGUACUCUUGUACAAUGCUCAGUCUGUCUAUUGUAACUGCAUGCAUCUAUAUUCAUUUUCUACCUCUGUAAUGCAGUGAAUAUUGUGUUAGUUACUAUGCAUAGAGAUCCGCGGAUAGAAUGUUAUAUAUUCCUAAAGUUUUUGUUCUCCAGUGGAAGUAACAAUUAGCUUUGAUAGUUCCAUCAUCAAACAUUUAUCACGUGCUUAUGCAUGCAGGACAUCAUGUAUCACAUACAUUCUCUAUUGCCGCUUAGGGAUGCCGCCCGUGCUGCCUUCGUGUCUCAUGUAUUUUUGAAUUCCUGGAGAUGUCGGCCAAACCUCUGCUUAAAGUAUGAAAGCUCUGGGAUUCAAAGCAAGCUCUUAUGGAAAUGAUAAAGCAUCCAGGGAUUUCACCAAAAUAGUUGACCAUAUUUUGAAGAAGCACUCUGGCUUUGGCUUGAAGACAUUUCGGCUUGCAAUGUAUGGUUGUCACAAUGUCAACGCUUGCCAUCUCGAUAGUUGGCUUCACCUUGCUCUUAUAUUGGGGGUUGAACAGCUCAUCCUUGAAUUCCCUUCAAUGAUACGGUAUAACUUCCCAUUGUCAUUUUUAUCUGGUAUAAGAGUGGAAACUCAAUCCGGUAUCUUCAUCUUAGUUUCUGCACCUUCCGUCCGACAGUAGACUUGGGUGCUUCAGAAGCUUGAAGAAGCUGCAUCUGUACUAUGUGAGUAUUACCGGGGACGAGUUAGGGUGCCUUCUUCCAAAUUCUGUUGCUUUGGAGCAGCUGGAACUCAGAUAUUGCAAGGACAUAAUUUGCCUAAAGAUACCCCGCGUGCUGCUUCGGCUCAGCUGCCUGAAAGUGUUUGCAUGCGACAAUCUGCAGGAGAUAAUGAGUGAAGCUCCAAAUUUGUCCAGUUUGUGCUUUGAAUGGUUCGACCGCCAUGUAACCAUCUCACUUGGAGAAGCAUUGCAUGUGAAAAAACUUGAAAUUCCAUGUUUCAGAUCAUUCAACUAUGCGCAGCUUCCGACCAUCGUGCCAAAUCUUGAAGUUCUUAAUGGCCAUUAAGAUAGUGUUUGAUUCGUGCUAAGGUAACGUAAACGCAAAGGGAAUCAGAUUACAGUGUAUUUGGUGGUGGAAUAGGUGAUUACCCUCUUUGUUUGGUUGCACUCUGGUAACGUAAUCAGAUUACGGGGUGGAUGCUAUAUCUGAUUAUGGUGGGGGAGGAGGGGUAACAAGCUUGUAUAGAUAUUAUUUAGAUAAGGGAUUCGAUUACAGUGUCAAUUGAUCACAAACCACCGCAACUAAACACAUGUAAUGGAAUUCGUUACCUUCGGUAAUCAGAUUACGUUAUAUUUGAACCAACCAAACACCACCUUCACUUUGUCAGGUAUGCACCUAGCAAAUUCUGGCAGCUGAAGUACCUAUUCCUGGAGAGACCCAUGGCCCAGCCUAUGAUUAUUUGUCCGUGUCUUCAUUUCUUGGUGCUUCUCCUUGCUUGGAGACUUUCAUACUGCGCAUACAUGUAAGUAUAUCUCACCUUGCAAAGAUAUACAGUGUCUACUUGGUGAUGGAUUCGAGUAUCUUUGCUUGGUUUUCCAUCUUUAGGUACCGGAAACCCGCGUGGAGCACGGCCUGUUUACCGGAGAUCCCUCGCUUCUGCGUUGGAUGCCAGAACACCGUCAUGAGAAGCUCAAGCGUGUGCAGAUCGCCGGCUUCUACCCUGCAAAGAGCCUUCUGGAAUCUGGAGCUAGCAUGCUAUGUCCUUGAAACCGCAACAUCAUUGGAACGCCUUGAACUGGGCACCACCUACUGUCCGUAUUGGUUUACCAAGAGCAAACAUGCCAGCUGCUACCUCGUGGCGAUUAGAACAUACAUCGAGGCAAAGGUUCCCUCCACGGUUAGAUUAGAUGUUCAGGGGCCUUGGACCAGAACUGGGGGCAGUGGUUUUAGAAUCUAUUAGAUUAGAUGUCAAGGUUUCAUUAGGUUAUGAAACUUUUAUAUGCUUGUGCUCUGUUUAUUGAGUUAUUAGUUUCUCAGCUAACUCGUAAUUUGAGCCGUUUUGCUAGUUGAUCAUGUUAAAUAACUUCGUAGUUCAUGGAAUCAUGGUUUGGCCAUCGGACCCUGUGCAUAAACUGUUUGAUCCUGCCUUUGUGAGUCUGUGGUGGGAGUUGGACGGCCGCUCCAGCGUCGUUACCGUGGCACGGAAAGUUAUACAAAAGAAACUUUUCUAAAGAAUAGUUAAAUACCUUUUUUGGAAAAGUUAUUUAAAAACUUUUCCAGAAAUUUGAAUUUUGGAUUUCAAGGCAACAUUGCUGGCUCUAAAGAUGAACUUCUGGAUGGCUUGUGCUCUGUUUCUUGACUUGUCAGUUGUCACAAGUCUUUCGAUGUUUUCAUGCUGCAAUGUCACUAAUGGGUUGUGUGCGCUGUGUGCGCCUAUCCUUCUAUCGUACUCAUAAAUUAUAAUAUUAUAAUCCCUCCAUCCUACAAAGACUGUUGGUUUAGAAAAUUUUAGAUAAGAUAGUAGCAAUGAUAAAAGUCCAAAGUACCCUUAAUAACGGAUGGAUUACUGAGUAGAAUUAAUUAUGUAUGCACGCUUGCAGUAAUUAUCGAACCUAUUAGCCUUCCUUGUUUAGCGAGUCUGGCUCGGGUAUCGAUGGUGAGAGUAAAUGAUCGAUUCGUUAAUUGGGCUAGAAGGUAUUAUGAGGGGCUUUAUUGGAUUGUCCGAAAAUUAUAUGGACACUCUUUGUGAGACAAGUUUUGAAGGCUAAACGAAUAGUCUCUGUGGGACGAGGGAGUAUUUGCUUUUAAAAUACUUUAUAUGAUAUUUAUAACAAGCUAAUAGUUUUGGAUGCUUAAGAAAAAUUAAUUGGUAUUUUAUUUUUAAUAAUUAAUUAGUUUGUUCUAAAUGAAUUAGUUUUUUUAGGAAGUCUAAAUGAAUUAUUAUUAUUUUUGAGAAAGGGUUGGAUUUUACUGAUAUAGAACUAUUACAGCCAGCCCCCUAACACAAGACACCCCUGAUUAACAAGAAAAUUACAUAUAGAUCCUUUACAUGAGCAAAUGAAUUAGUUAACUGCUUGCUUUGUGUUGCUCAAACAGGCCCACCAGACGUUGGGAACCGGCUGUGAGGCUGGGCCGUAUCAAAACCAGGUAGGAAUGGCUCCGAUUUUUUUUUUCUUCCCACGCAUGGAUCGAUGAAUGGAGAGCGCGAGGCGGAGUUCGCAGAGCCCAGCCUCGUCCCGUGGGCCGCAGCCGAGACGGUGAUCUGCUCCGUUCUUGAUCGGUUGAUCUUUCCUCGCGUCUCGUAGGGUUUAGCACCUCGCGAUCUGCUCUUGGCCGUGGCCAUGGAGUGCAGCGGUGGCGGUAGAGACGACAGCCUCAGCGGCGAAUCCCAAGCCCGCGGUAUGGUUCCGGGUUCCCGGUUUUUUUUUCCCCUGUGGUCUCCGUGCGCGCGCGCUGUAGAUUGUUGAUUCGCAUCGCAGUGACAACACUUGGGGGAGAUUGCGAUCUUAAGCUAAUUUUUCAUCUGUCUGCAGUUCAUCUGUGGAGUUGAGAGUUUGAUAUGUUCUCCUUUUUUAACAAGUUUGAGGUCGUUACCUAGAGUCGCACACUAUGUUACUUCACAAAAAAUUCGUGCAAACAAAUUACUUAGAUCCCUGUCUUUGUUGUUCUCUAGUAGACAAAUUACGUGUGCGAUACUGUUUGCAAUGCAUACGGACUGAGGCUUGGACCUAGGACCCUAAAAAAACAUGCGUGCGCACCGCUAGAUAGAAAGUUUCUUGUGCCUGAUGUCGUUGAUGUUCUUCAAGUACCAAUCGUUUAUAAUCUUUAGUAACAGCAAUAACCAUGACGCGUUGCACUUCAGAUGAAUCAGUUGCUUCAGUGGUUGCAACAGAGGGCUCACCCUCUGAACAGGACGACAAUUUCCAAGGAGUCAAAGAACAGGAUUAUAACUCUCAGAAAUGCAAAAUAAUGAGAUAUUGAGAGCCCAUGCUUCCAGAGGUAUGCUAAUACAACUAUUGGUUGCUACUACCAAGCGCACUGCUCAAACUUCCCAAAUUUGAACAUAAAGGAGACAAAUUAUUGAGAUGUUCCUUUUACAUGUCUUCCUCCACGUGUACACUAAAAUAGAACGUACUGUUUGUAAGGUACAUGAUUGGCAUAACCAUGCAAAGAGAAAAAAGGAGACAUGUAGGCUUUUUUUCGCAGUAGGAAUGAACUGAUAUGUUUCCUAUCGAUGCAUGGCAGACAAUCAUUUUGAUUAGGUUUUCUUUAGACAUUUCUUAAAGUUUGUGCCGCCCUUUGAAUCUGGUGCUUUCAUCCGGAACAUUAUUUUUCCUACAAUAAUCCGGUGUUCUCAUGGUCCUUCACUAGUACAGUAGAUGCUAAAUUCUUAGUUAGUGGAUUAUCUUGACCUCCACGUCUCUUGAUUGACACAACUGCACUGGAACCAAUUUUGUUGGCCGUUAGUUAGAAACUUAGUAGUAGCUAUAAAUCAGGAGCAGACCCAUGAAGGGCCCAGCAAUAAAUAACAGUUUUACAAAAAAACUUACCAUACUCUUGUAAGAUGCUCAGUCUACUAAUUACAUCCAUAUGCAUAUUCUACCUCUGUAAUGCAGUAAACAUUGUGUUACUAUGCGCAGAGUUCCUCAGAUAGAAUGUAUAUGUUCCUAACGUUUUUGUUUUCUAAUUGAAGUAGUUGGUUUUUACCGUUCCAUCAUCGAACAUUUAUCACGUGCUUAUAAAUGCAGGACAUUUUGUGUCAUGUACAUUCUCUGUUGCCGCUUAGGGAUGCCGCCCGUGCUGCCUGCGUGUCUCAUGUAUUUCUGAUUUCCUGGAGAUGUCGUCCCAAUCUCUAUUUCAAUACGGAAGCUCUGGGCUUGGAAGCAAACUGUGGCAGAACAUCCAGGGAUUUCACCAAAAUAGUUGAUCAUAUUUUGAAGAAGUACUCUGACAUUGGCUUGAAGACAUUUCAGCUUGCCAUGUAUGGUUGUUACUAUAUCGAGUCUUGUCAUCUUGAUAGCUGGCUUCACCUUGCUCUUACAUUGGGGAUUGAAGAGCUCAUCCUUGCAACCAAUUCAAUGGUUCCAAAGUAUAACUUCCCAUUGUCACUUUUAUCUGGUAAGAGUGGAAACUCAAUCCGAUAUCUUCGUCUGAGCUUCUGCAUCUUUCGUCCGACAGUCAGACUUGGGUGCUUCAAAAGCUUGAAGAAGCUGCAUCUGUAUUGUGUGGGUAUUAGCGGGGACGAGUUAGGGUACCUUCUCCCAGUUUCUGUUGCUUUGGAGCAGUUGGAACUCGCAUAUUGCAAUAAGAUAAUUUGCCUGAAGAUACCCCACGUGCUGCAGAGGCUCAGCUGCCUGGAUGUGGCUGCAUGCCACAAUCUUCAAAUGAUAAAGAGUGAAGCUCCAAAUUUGUCCAGCCUGUGCUUUGAAUGGUUCCACCACCAUGUACACACCUCACUUGGAGAGGCAUUGCAUGUGAAAAAAAGUACAAAUGCUAUGUUUUAGGGACUUCUACUAUGUGCAGCUCCCGACCAUCAUGCCAAAUCUUGAAGCUCUUACCAUAGAUUCAAUUUGCCAGGUAUCCCGAGACUUGAUGUGCCUAAAUGACUAUAGUUUGUAAUAAUGAUACAAAUUAAUCUGGAACAUUAUGCAGAUAGCCAGUAUACCAAGCGAGCACAGCAAAUUCUGCUCGUUGAAGUACCUAAACAUUUGUGUUCCUGGAGAGGUCCGUGGCCCAGUCUAUGAUUAUCUUUCCCUUGCUUCAUUUCUCGGUGCUUCUCCUUGCUUGGAGACUUUCAUCCUGCGUAUACAUGUAAGCGCCUUCCCAUCUUACAAAGAUAUCUAGUGCCUAACAGAUGGAUUCAAGUGUUUUUUAUUUGCCAUGCUCAGGUACCGGAGGUUCGUGUGAAGUAUGGCUUGUUUUCUGGCGAUCCCUCCCAUCCGCGUCAGAUGCCAGAACACCGAUAUGUCAAGCUCAAACGUGCGAAGAUCAUCGGCUUCUACCCUGCGAAGAGCCUGCUGGAGCUAGCAAGCCAUGUUCUUGAGACGGCAACGUCACUUGAAUGCCUCACACUGGACACCACCUACUGUUCUUGCGGGCGUCGUCACAGCGAUCCUGCCAAGUGCUACCUCGUGGCCAUCAAAAGAUACUUCGAAGGGAAAGUUCCCUCCACGGCUAGGUUAGAUGUUGAGGGGCCUUUCAGCGGCGUGCGACCGAACGACCGUAGGUGGCAAGGUUUUACUGUGUUUGAUGGGCGUUCAUAGCGGCAUGGCAUCAUGCAUGCAUGCUGUGAAGCGUGAACUUAAGAUAGAUGUCAAGGUAUAUUUGAGGCCACGCUUGUCCCUCCGUUGCUUCCUUGAGAAAAUGUGUCAAGGUGCACGUCUUUGCAGUGUUGGGUGAUGCAAUUUUAGACAGAUGUCUUGUGCUAUUGUGUUUCUUGAAUUGUCAGUUUGUCACAAGCCUUUGAUGUUUCGCUCUGCAAUAAUGUUGCAGCGCCGAACCUUGCAGCUUGCUCACAAUUUGAGCCAUUUUGCUAAUUGCUUGGCGUGAUAUAUGAUUCUCUUGGUAAAACACGAGCUUAUGGUGAGUGCGGACUGUGUGCAGAAACGACUGUUUUGCGGUAGCGUCUCGGUGGGUUCUGGCUGUUCCUGGCCGUGGUGUUGUCCGCAGGCUGAAAGGCGCUUCAGACGGCACGUCUCAGCCUCGUCACAGCACUGUGAGCAACUGAGCAUUUGUCAUGCAGCCUCAUUGAAAUUCGGCCCUGUGAUGUGUAUCAAUACAUAUACAUUUUUGUUGAGAUAAGAUGUACGCCUUUAGUUAAAGUACAGAUAUUUUUUAUUUUAUUCUAAAUCAAAUGAAUUUUAAUUCCGAUGAAGUUUAUAGCAAAAUAUACUAAAAUCUAUUAUACCAAAUAAAUGCACUCUCAAAAUAUAAUUUCACGAUGAAUUUAAGAUAUACUAUUGUAUUUUCCUAUAAAAUUGGUUAUUCUAAAGAAAAACAUAAAGGUUGUUGGUGUCAAAUGCUUGGAACCUAAUAUUUCUCCGCCAAUAUUUCUAGACCACUGCGAGUAAGUUUGGAUGCUGUUGGAAUGGCCCAGCCAAAUUUAGCCCGUGACCAACUCGCCCAAUGCAUAGUCGUAAGUGGGAAGCACAAAAUUAAAGAGUUCCCAUUUAUAGCCGAAUGCACGUGGUUAAAUCCUUCGUAAUAUUUAGUAGGCCAGCGCGUUGGCAGGGCAGAGCCGGUGAUAGCAUCCAAAUCAUGUCCUAGAUCUUCAUCUAGCAGUCCGGGUAUUAUCUUGAGCCUUCGUAUGUGAGCUUCCCUCUAGGUCCCCACCUACCUCUAACCAAUCUGUUCGUCGCCUUUGCCGCUAAUUUCAUCCAUCGUGUUUGGUGUCGAUGUCACUACCAUCACCUUGCCACGUGCACACCAAUCUGUGUCAUCCCUCUAAGACCAGUAAUGGUAGAAAUCUUCCUAAACUCUCGCACGAGCGCCACGCCCUUGUACUGAACACUAGUAUUGCUAGUUGAGAGCAACAUCGAUACCGAUUAAAAAUCUUCUCUAUCACUAGUAGAGAGCAUAAAAAAUAAACAUAUAUGUAAGUUUUGCAGCUUUGAUCUAGUUGUAGUGAAAUUUUUGCUUAACGUGGAUGGGACAUCAUUAUAAUAGGAAACUAAAAACUAACCGCAUUUACUCACCUAGUUUGAAUCCUUGGCUUAGCACUUGUGCUUGUAUUUUAUUGGAAGUUUUCUAGUACGUAGGUGAAAUUAUCGUCGAAAUAAGAUGUUUUUCUUAUAGUUUUGUCAAGAUAUACAAUACAAGGUUUUAAAUAUGCUUGAGACUGUGUGUAUUUAUAAAACGUGUGAUUGCGACACUGCGUGUAGGUGCGUCCGUGCGUGUGUGUGUCUAGCCAUCCGGUGCUCUGUCGAUCGAACGGCCAAGCACCACCUGCUGACCUGCACUGACGAAACGACCAGCAUGUCACAGUGACGUCAUUGCCCCGGUCCAUGCGACCAUCCGCACCGGCGCACGCUCUCCUCUGUCACACGACACCGCCACGACACACUCGGCGGUUCGCGUUUCUCUCUCUUCGCGGCCCGGCCGCCUCGGCUCCCUCCUCCUCCCCUUUCCCUCCGACCCCGACCUCUCACUCCCGCGCCGAACUCGCCGCGCUCUUCUCCCUCCCCAUCUUGACCGGUUCUGGCCGUCUUAUCCCUCUCUCUCCCGUUUCCACGCCCAGCCCGAACGCCAAAAAACCCGCAGCCCGCGCGCGCGCGACGAGGCACGCGUACGACGCACCAGCCACGCACCCGGCACCCGCAACGGCUGGCCGAUCGCCGGUGAGCGCGCGAUCGCCAUGGAGCCGGACGACGAGGUGAUGCCGCGGGCCCCGCCGCCGCAGCGCCGCGGGAUCUCGUACAGCCAGCCGCUGUCGCGGGACGCCGCGUCCGCGCGCCGCGCCGCGCUGCGCAACCACAGCCUCGACGACGACCACAUCCUCCCGGUCUCCCACUCCCUCAACUACCCGCUCCACCACGACCCCACGGCGGGGGCCCCGCACGUGGGAUACCACCCGCCGCUCCCGCCGCACCAGCACCACCCCAGCGCCUCCUACUCCUCCGGCUCCCGACGCUCGGGGGGCGGCGGCGCCAGCGAGGGCUCCAUGACGCUCGAGCGCGCCAUGUCCGAGUACGGCGGCGGCAGCGGCACCCUCCCGGAGUUCGUCGGCGCUGGGGGCGGCAAGGGCAUCUUCCGCGUCCCGCUCCGCGCCGCCAUGCACCCGGGCCGCCCGCCCCCGCUCGAGGUGCGGCCCCACCCGCUCCGCGAGACGCAGGCGGGAUCGUUCCUCCGCACGCUCGCCGCCGAGCAGCAGCGCCGACAGCUCUGGGCCGGGGCCGAGUCCGGGAUCAGGGUCUGGGCGCUCGACGAGGUGUUCGCCGAGUGGGGCGCCGGCGCGCGCCGCGGCGACGAGGAGAGCGCGCCGUUCCGCGAGGGCGUGCCCGCGCCUCCCGCGCUCUGUGUCGCCGUCGACAGGGCCAACCGCCUGCUGUGGACGGGGCACAAGGACGGGAGGAUCCGAUCGUGGCGCAUGGACCUCGACGCGGCGGCCACGGCGCCUGCGCCCGCCGCUGCUGGUGCAGGCGACGGCGGCGGGAGCGUUGGGGGCAGCAGUCAAGGCGGGGGAAACAACAAUGCGCCAGUGUUCAAGGAAGCCCUCACAUGGCAGGCCUAUGGCCGGACGCCCGUGCUCUCCAUGGUCGUCACUUCCUACGGUGAGCAUGCCCAUCUUUGAUCUUCAUUGCAAUCACAAUGCAUUGCUGUUGUCACAAACUCACAAUUGUAUUACAUCUGCACAUUGCCAUCACUGCAUGUCAAUUACAAAUUCAAGAGUUCUGACAAGAAAAUGUAUGCAUCAUUUGAAAUUAUCAGGCGAGAUAUGGUCAGGUUCCGAGGGUGGGGUCAUAAAGGCGUGGCCAUACGAUGCCAUUGCAAAGUCCCUCUCAUUGUCACCAGAAGAGAGACACAUGGCUGCUUUGUUGGUUGAGAGAGCUUACAUUGACCUCAGAAACCAUUGCACGGUUGGCAAUGUUUGCUCCUUGCCUGCUUCAGAUGUGAAACACAUGCUGGCUGAUCAUUCCCGGGCUAAAGUUUGGACUGUGACAAGCAUGACAUUUGCUCUAUGGUAUGCCUUCAGAAACAUAGAUGGAAUGUUUGUUAGAUUAUCAUGUUUGCUCAAUAAUUGAUUUAACCUAUCGAUUCUAUUGAACAAAUUGCUACAGGGACGCACGUACAAGGGAGUUGCUGAAAGUCUUUGGGAUGGAUGGCCAAGUUGAGUCAGCAAAGCUAGAGACACCAGUCAUGCCAGAACAGCCUAUGGAGGAAGAGGUCAACCCUAAAGCAAAACCUUCAAAGAAGGACAAGUCACAAGGUUCUUUGAACUUCUUCCAGAAAUCUAGGAAUGUUUUAAUAGGAGCAGCCGAUGCAGUGCGCAGGGUUGCAACAAAGGGAACAUUUGUCGAAGAUAACCGUAGAACAGGAGCAGUGGCUCAAGUAAUGGAUGGCACAAUCUGGUCAGGAUGCACGAAUGGUGCAAUUAUCCAGUGGGAUGGGAAUGGGAGCCGGGUGCAAGAAUUCCAGCAUCAUACAUCUUCGGUGCAGUGUAUAAAGGCACUAGGAGAAAGGGUGUGGGUGGGCUAUGCCAGUGGCACGAUUCAAGUCAUGGACGCCGACGGUAACAUUCUGGCAGGAUGGACAGGGCAUAGUUGUCCAGUCAUAAAGAUGGCUAUUGGUGGUUCUUACAUUUACACACUGGCGCAUCACGGUGGUAUUCGGGGAUGGCCACUGAAUUCUCCUGGACCUCUUGAUGAUAUUAUCCGUACGGAAUUGUCUAACAGAGAGCAGUCAUACACUAGAAUGGAGAAGAUAAACAUAAUGGUGGGAAGUUGGAAUGUAGCACAAGGGAAAGCAUCCGCUGAGUCACUUAGAUCAUGGUUGGGUAGUGUAUCAUCUGAUGUAGGGUUGGUUGUUGUUGGAUUACAAGAGGUUGAGAUGGGCGCAGGAUUUCUUGCCAUUUCUGCAGCAAAAGAAACUGUAAGAUACUUGAUCUUACCGUCAGCUCUUGUAUCCGAUUCAAUCUGUCAUUUGGUUGAUGCUUUAAAUGGUGCUAUAUCUAUUCACUACGUUGUUUUAUUUUCAUUUCCUCCAUUAACCGGGAUUUUGGUAGCCAGUCAAUGCUGCAAUAUGAUUAUGCCCUACUGUUUCCUAUAACUUAACUAUAUGUAUUUUUUAAAUUUAAUGAGUUUUUGUGUUAUGCAACUUCUGAGAGAAAUGUGACUUGCAAGUUAAAAAUAUAUCUGUAGAUGAAAUGAGUUAUACAAAAAAUAGCUAUUGAGCUAAUGAAGUGACGAAUAAGAAUUUACUUUUUGUUAGAGACAAACAGAUUUCAAUCUUCUUUGCCGUCUGUGGUGUAAUUCACAAAUCAACACCUGUUAGUAGGCCUUAUCAUUGCAGUGUUUUAUGUAAAUACUCUACAUCGUACUUUGAUUCAAUAUUUCUUUUUCAUGGUUCUAGGUAGGACUUGAGGGCAGCGUGAAUGGGCAAUGGUGGAUAGACAAUAUUGGCAAAGCACUUGAUGAGGGGACAUCAUUCCACCGAGUUGGUUCUCGACAGUUGGCUGCAUUGCUUAUUGCUGCAUGGUACUACCUUGUCAUAUAUUAGUUCCUUAGAAUUAAACCACAAAUUUCUUUUCACAUAAUGAUAAGUUGCUCAAUUAAUUGUUUGUUUCAUUGCCAUUCUCAUGUGCAUACAUAACAUGGAAAAAAUAUUUACUUUUCAAGGGCAAGAAAGAGCCUUAAGCCAUAUGUUGGUGAUGUCGAUGCUGCUGCAGUGCCAUGUGGUCUUGGACGUGCUAUUGGCAAUAAGGUACAUGAUAAUAUAGAUGUAUAUUCAUUCACUUUCCCCAUCUGAUUUUCCAUUUUCUAAUGGUUCACUUAAAAGAUCAGAAAUGAGUUAACCAAACAUGGCAAUUCCAAAGUUGAAGCUGCCGUAGUCACUUCUUUAGAAAAUAUUCUGGGCUCCUUUGCCCUCAGUACUUCAAAUAUAUACCUCCUUUUGACGAUAUCAGCAUAUCUUGUGUUGGGAACUUGAUAUUCUAGUGAUAGUUACAUAAUGGCUGUAUGAAUAGAGAAAGAAAAUCUGCAUGUAGCACUGUAGCAGCAAAACAUAAUAGUCCUUAGUACUCUGUUUUAUAUUCCAUUUCAUGUUCUCCAUAGUUCUUUUGUUUGUCUGAUGUGAUGACAUUUCAUUCUGCUGCAGGGUGGUGUAGGAUUAAGAAUAAGGGUAUAUGAUCGGAAAAUGUGUUUUGUGAGCAAUCAUUUUGCUGCACAUCUGGAAGCCGUGAGCCGACGAAAUGCUGACUUUGACCACAUUUACCGGACAAUGGCUUUCAACAAACCACAUGGAUCCACAGGUUCAUUUUUUUACGUUUUAUGAAGAGCUUUUUUUUUGGCAAUGAGGUUUAGGAUUUAUGUAUCUUUUCCAUUCAACUUUAGGUGUUACAAAUACUUCUUUAAUACCUCAAAGUUUUUCCAUAAGUGAUAAUCCUUUGGUUUGUUGUGAUACAGCUUCUGCUACAUCUGUCCAGUUGCACAGAACAGUAAAUGUAUGUGUCAAAUAACCUGUAAACUAUCGAUAUAUACCAAUGAAUUAUACUGACGUCCAGAUGUUGUGCUGAUUUCAGGUCAAUGGAAAUCAGGUUGAAGAAGUAAGGCCUGACCUGGCUGAAGCUGAUAUGGUUGUAUUUCUUGGUGAUUUCAACUACAGGCUUUAUGGUAUCACAUAUGAUGAAGCAAGGGACAUGGUUUCACAAAGAAGCUUCGAUUGGCUAAGAGAGAAGGAUCAGCUUCGAGCAGAAAUGAAAGCUGGAAAGGUAUUUCAAGGAAUGCGUGAAGGCAUAAUCAAAUUUCCCCCAACAUACAAGUUCCAAAAGCAUCAGCCAGGUCUCGGAGGUAUGAACAUGAUGUUGCUUGCAAAUUUCUAUUUCUUUUCCCUAAUCAACUGGUCAUGUAAUUUUUCUCCUGACUAAUGUAGUAGGUUCUGUUUAUUGCUUUGCAUCACUAGUGCUGAAAACUGACUAUCAACUGUCAUGUAGGGUAUGAUUCGGGUGAGAAGAAGCGGAUACCUGCUUGGUGCGAUAGAGUGCUAUAUCGUGACAGCCGUUCUGUAUCAGUAGCUGAAUGCUCAUUAGAGUGCCCUGUAGUUGCUUCCAUUACAUCGUGAGAUACUAUUACGAUUCUUCUUUCUCCUUCCGAUGAUCAAUAAUUCCUUUGACCAUACUGAUUUUUUUUCUUGGUAGGUACGUGGCGUGCAUGGAUGUCACGGAGAGUGACCAUAAACCUGUGAGGUGUACAUUCAGCGUUGAUAUUGCAAGAGUUGAUGAGUUAAUAAGAAGGCAAGAAUAUGGAGAAAUAAUUGAAUCGAAUGAGAAAGUACGUUCUUUGCUCCAAGAAGCUUGUUUUGUUCCAGAAACUACAGUUAGCAUAAGUGAAAUCAAGCUGGAGAAUCAAGAGAAUAUUGUCUUCCAAAUUACCAAUAAAUGUGAAACAAGCAAAGCAGCUUUCGAAAUCCUAUGUGACGGGCAGUCAAUCAAGAAGGAGGAUGGAACUAAAUCAGAGCUUCUUCCAAGGGCAUCAUUUGGCUUCCCACUUUGGCUCGAGGUAAGAGGUGUUGUGAACUCCUUUAAUAAAGCUCUAGUCUGGAACUCUGUAUUACACGGGGCAACACCUACAACUAUAAUUCAUUUAUAGUUUCUAGCCACCAACUGAAGAUAUUGCCAUUCUUCCUAUAUGUGUACUAAUAUGAUCAAAAUUUACGAUGUUCAAUUGAAUGAAUAUGACGCAGGCAGAAGUAGCUUCUCAUGUCAGCAAACAGUUGAUAUACUGCCUGUCAUAGGUUCUUUGUAGUCAGUUUUUUUAGUUGCUGAUUUACCUUAUCACACAGGUACAACCAGCGGUCGGUCUGAUUAAACCAGGUGAAACUGUGGAGAUUACACUCCAUCACGAAGACUUUUACACACAGGAAGAGUUCGUAGACGGAAUACCACAGAACUGGUGGUGCGAGGACACCAGAGAUAAGGAAGCCGUUCUCAGAAUAAACAUAACAGGCAGCAGCUCAACCGAAACCAAGACGCACACCAUCAACGUCCAACAUUGCUGCCCACCAUCAUCGGCGCCCCCGAUGAUGAACCUGCCAGCGGCUGCCGUGCCACCGAGCAACGUCCUGGCCAGCGAGGGGCACUCGAAGCGCUCCUCCAAGAAGAGCCAGUCCAAGCACCGGGACCAGCAGCAGCAGCAGGAUUACCCACAGUUUGGGAGCUCGGAGGUGCACGACCUGUGCCGCAUGCGGUGCCCGUGAGACCUGUACAAAGGAGUAAGGAUACUGAAGUUCUGUCUAGGAGGUGGGAACUGCGAGUCUUAGGUUUCUCACAUCAAGUCCGGGAGUUACCACACAAAGAGAAAAAAAUAAUAGCCUGGGAGGAGUUGCUCCGGUUCUGUACAUAUGCUUCACUUACCUCUAUCAGCUGCCAUUCUUUCAUGUAGCCCAAGAAAAGGAGUCUAGAGUCAUGAGAUAACCGUGCUAAUAACUUGUUCUUUUAUUCUUGUUCCUUAAGGAGUGUUCUCUAGAUAGUUGAAGCCAGGGAUGUUUGAACAAUGCUUGAUGUAAUAUGUUCCAUAGAAUUAGUUUAGGUUUGUUCUCUCUUUACUCAACAGUUCUGAUGAUCUUGUACUUCUUGAUUAUUGCCCUUGUUAAUAAGUGACAAAUUCUUCAUUCCCUUGAAUCAUCAUUGCAUAUUUAUGGCUUUGGUUUAGUGUUAUUGUGCUCAAAAUAUUUGGAUGUCCUAGAAGUUUGUGACGACAGUAUGCAUAUCCCUGUCAGAUAAUAUCUAGUUGAUGGCUUGAUGCUCCCUUGCUAAAUGAAACAAAAUGAAGGUAAAAUUCAAACUGAUACUAUGAAAUUAGCAUCCCUAAUCCUCUCUUAUGUAUCAAAUUGCAAUUUAAUCCGAUACUCCUCUCUUAUCACAAAUAUAAAUCAUUGUAAGAUUCUUACUCGUCAAGGCCUUUUGCACGGGAUGAAGCUGAUCACUGGAUGUUGGUAGGCGCCAAAGGCCUGAGUAGUCUGGCUGCUGCUCGAUCUGAUGGUUAGCAGCGUUGGUUGGUUAGGUGUUUGUAUGGCUAUUUGAGCCUCUUUCUUCUAUCUUAAUACAAUAAUACGUAGCUCUCCUACAUAUUUUGGAAAAACUUAGACUGUAAAUAAAUAAAGAAUUAGGUAGGUUGAAAUCAUAAAAUUGAUGUAUAUAGAUUCAUUGUAAAGUAUUUUCAUAAUAUAUAGUCUUUCUUAUAUGCUACUCUCUCCGUCCCAAAUUACUAUUCGUUUUAGCUUUUCUAGAUGAUAGAUUUUGCUACGUAUCUCGACAUACAUACAUUUAAAUCCAUAUUAAAAAAAUUUUAUCUAGAAAAGUCAAAACGGAUAGUAAUUUGGGACACGGGGAGUAUAUUGUUUUAGAAAUUGUUAAUUUUUCCCUUCAAGACAGUGUCAGAUCUUUUCAAUGACUUAUUUCUCAUCUAAAGAAAUAACCAAUAGACACAAUCACACACCAUGGUACUCAAAUUUCUAAGUAAAAAUUAUAGAACCCUCUACAAGUCCCUUAGAAGUUUGAUAUCCCCGCAAGUCAUUUUGUUGACGUUCUCUCGCCAAAUUAAAGAAAAAGCAGCCGAAUUUCAGGUGACCGCUAUGACAUUCACUUCCCUGAUUAUCUCUUGCGCAACUAUUUUUUAUCACAGCCGUAAUUUGUCUAUCAGACAAGAGAUUUACCUCUUAGUGAAAUACUCCUACGUGCUUAGGGGCAAAAAGGACAAGGGGUUUACGGUUACCCAAACCGCAGUGCCAGAAGCCCUGAACGCGCACGGCACCGCACGGGCACGGCGCUUGCCUUAAACCCCUCGUCGGCUUCCUCCCACUCCUCCGGUCCUCCCCCCAUCGGCGAGCUCAUCCGUCCGCCGGUCCCCAUGGCGCCCAAGGUUCUGAUGGUAAGCCGCCCCCGCCUCCGCCCUCGCCGCAGACGCCGGCUAGGUAACCGUGGCGCUGCGCGGUGGCGGCCGCGCUGACCCCACUCUGAACACCUUCUCACUCCUGGUUCGUGCCACUGCAGGUCGCGGAGAAGCCCAGCAUCGCGCUCUCCAUCGCCUCCGCCCUCUCCGGCGGCCGCGUAAGUUCUCCCCCUCCCUCCUCCGCCACCGAAUCCGUGCUGAUUUUGAUUGUUGGUGUCGAAUUCGGGGGCGACCUGACCUCGGAUUCAUUUGGGAAUGGGUGGUGUCGAAGGAGCCAGCCCUAACGGUCGGCGCGCCGAUGGGUGCUGGUUCUUCUGAGCUGCUGGUAGUUUGGUCGCCGUCUAAUUUUUACCCUAGGAGCUUGAGUGUCGACUGCAAAUUUGUGUGAUGGCUCAUUGAGCUCCCCUGUUGAGGUAGCUUUUGGGAUUGGUUGAAAUGAUAUAUGAAUUUGCACAGUUCCGACUGCCAUAGUAAAUAAAUUUGCUCAGCUUUGCCUGAUGAUCAAUGCUUAAGCUCAGUAGCCCGGGUACUUCUAGAAGAGGCAUGGUUAACCUCCAUUCCCCUCUAGCAAAUCUUUUGAAAAAGUUAAUUGCGGAUCUGAAUUUUUGAUAACCUAUUGAGGCAUCAAGUAGCUGUGCACAUAUCAGUUGCUGUUACAACCUGGCGGAUAUGGAUGAGACACCUUUUCCCUCCUCAGAAAAGAGCAGUAGGGAAGGCCCCAUUUGAAUAGUACUAAUAAUAUGGGCCAGACUCCAGAAUGCUUUGUUUUGAUUAAGAGUUUACUCACAUCGAUAUCUUUUCUUUCAUCAUUCAUGCAGAUGUCCACAAGGAAGGGAAGCACAGAUAUCCAUGAGUUUGACGGGAUGUUUCAGGGUUCUUAUGCAAAUUUUAAAGUGACAUCUGUCAUUGGACAUGUUUUAAGGUAGCGCUUUUGUCACAGUUUUGUCAUUUGAAGCCUGAGUAUAUGAAUUCUUGCACAUGCACAUUUCGUACAUAUCAGUGUUGAAUGUUGAUAUGUGCACUGUGCAGACACGGUGGACCAAUGCAUAGUUGAAAUGUUGGUUAUACUGAAAGUUGCCAUUAGUUAUUACAUUUCAGCAGCAUCGAUAUACAGAUAUUCAGUUCAUGUUUACAGUUUCUGAACUUAAAAUGUCUUUUGAUUGCGUUUCUUUAAUCUCUGUAUGAUUUUUCCAGUGUAGAUUUCCCCCCUGCAUAUCAGAACUGGGAUGGAACUGAUCCAAUGGACCUAUUUGAGGCGCCAGUUCUGAGAUCUGAAUGCAACCCAAAGGUACUGUAUUCCUGUACAACUCUGAUUGAACAGAAUGCAACUCAGCUAGCAGUUAAGGGUCAACUCAGAUUGUGAGAGAAUAUGACUCAUUGACAUUUAACUGCUUGGUUGUAACCAAAUAAAGUGGUGAUAGUACUCAAAUAAAGUGGUGAUAGUACUCCAUUAUGCUAAUCUACUCCACCCAUGCAUGGCCAAUCAACUAUGCAGUUUCACUGUUUCUUAAACAUUUUUAUGUCCUCUCUCUCUCUCCAUAUGUAUUAUCGACUCUAGGAGUAUUCAAACUCUGAAUAAACAAAUGUCCUGGUUAUUGUUUUCCUCACAUUUUUUGUUAGGCUCCCAGUUACAAUUGCAGAAUCUGCUAAAUUGCCAAAUCCAAACGGUAGUUUUUGGCUGAUGUUACAUUUAUCUGUAUCUGUGUAUGUUCCAGUUAUUUUGAACUUUUACUAGGCUUUCUUGAAGCCGUUAGAUAGAACUAUGUUAUCUUUUUCACUUUUUCCCUGAAACCUGCUUUUUUCUUCACUUGCAAUGCAUAUUUUGCAUUAUCAAGUAAUGGAAAUGGGGGACCCUGUUUUGAAAAAAAUGGUGUAUGUGUUUUCCCUUUUCCCUUAAGGAUCAUAAUGUCCCGCAGUUAAAUACAACACUGAUGGGUAGCUCUCUUGAAGGCUCAUAUCCGCAGGCAUCUAGCUCAAGAAGUUCGAGGUUGCACUUAUUUGAUACUUUGGCUGGACUGUGACCGAGAAGGAGAAAACAUAUGCUAUGAAGGUACACCAACCCUGUUUGGGAAUAAUUAUGCAUACCAUCCUGUCAGGUCAUUAUUAUAAUUUAUGAUGGUGUAUAGAGAGCUAUAUGUGGAGUUUUCCAUUUUACAAUCAGGACUCUGAAAAGCAAAACAUAGGUGUAUACGUAAAAUAAGUUUGACACCAUUGGGAAGUUCUCUGCUAGAAUGAGUGAGACAUUAGAUCAAUUGAAUUUCUUUAGAGUCUGGAAGCUAUAAAGAUUUUAAUUCUUUGUCCAAACAGAACAUAGAUAAUUAUGUAAAAAUAUCAUUUGAAAUUAUUUUUUAUACUCAGAUUUCUUUGUUCUUGAUUGCUGCAAUGUAUACCUGGUAUUUCUUUGCUUGCUUCUACACAUAUACAUGGCUUGUUCUGUUCUACCUCCUGAUAUUUAGCUUGAUCAAUGUAAUUACAAUGCCAAACAUAUGUUCCAGUUAUUGAGUGCACUGGGAUUCCUGAAAAUGAGGCUGGCAGAAGAAUUUUCCGUGCUAGAUUUUCAUCUGUUACCGAGAAAGACAUAUUGAGUGCCAUGGAUAACCUUGCUCUGCCAAAUAAAGAUGAAGCACUAUCAGUGGAUGCUCGCCAAGAAAUUGACUUGAAGGUUGGAGUAGCAUUUACUCGAUUUCAGACCCGAUAUUUUCAAGGAAAAUAUGGAAACCUUGAUUCAAGAGUGAUUUCGUGAGUUCUCCAUCUCUUUUCACAAUCCAAAUUUCUUUGACAAUUGCUUAUUGAAUUCUUUUUUUAUUAAAGAAAGUGCUACUAGGUAUAAACAAUCUUCAAAUAUUUUUGGUUCUGUGAACUUUUAAAUUUUUUAUUCAAGUCAUCAUAGCAAUAUCUUUUACAUGUACCCUACCUGUAUUUUAAUAAUAUUUUCCAGAAUUGGUUUAAGAUUUGUUAUCCUUUCAUCCUUUGUAAAUCAGGUAUGGUCCGUGCCAAACACCUACGCUGGGAUUCUGUGUACAACGCUAUCAGCAAAUCACCACAUUCAAACCAGAGAAAUUCUGGUCCUUGAAAACUUAUAUCAUCAAAGAUGGUGAUGAAAUACAGCUAGAAUGGGACCGGAAGAAACUUUUUGAUUUUGAUGUGAGAUCACAUACCCAAGUGAUUUGGCUUUAUUCUUCCAAAUGUUCUCACAUUUUCCUUAAUUAAAAAUGCAGGUUACUGUAAUGUUUCAGAAGAUGGUCGCCAGUGAUGGGACUCUAAAAAUAGCAGAUGUAUCAGUGAAGGAAGAGUGCAAAACCCGUCCAUCUGGCCUUAAUACAGUUAAUAUGCUUAAGGUACCAUAGCUCUUACCUCUUAGAGUAACCAUAUCUUGUCCUUAGCUUUCCCUUAUUUAUUUUGCCUUGCUAUCUACAAAUCUCACUUUGUGCUUGCCUUACAGUGUAAUGUUUGUUCAGUCUUUUGAAGCACGAUUUUGUUCUUACAAUGUCCUACCAAUGUGUAUUGCUAUCAUAAAUUGCCUCUUGAUUGAAAUCUGAUACCCAAGAUUCUCCUGUUGGGUUUGACUUGACCAAAAUCUUAGUAUUAAUAUGACAAUUAUAUCCUUUUCAUUUUAAAAUGGGGGCAUUUGGGUUGUUUUACACAUGAUGAAAGAGUUGAGUAAAUUUCAAACUAAUUUAUCCUUCUUAUAUCAGGUUGCAUCAAGUGCACUCAGUAUUGGACCUCAGACAGCCAUGCACUUGGCAGAGCGGCUUUACACUCAAGGAUUCAUCAGGUUUCAAAAAUAACAUCGAAAUAGUGCUAUGUUUAAUAUUGAAUCUCGUCUACCAUUAGCCUGAUAGAAGUUGAUGUGGGCUUAUUUACCAUAUGCAAUGAUGCAUGGCGUUUCAUUGUAUUUUCUAAUACUUCUUUUGUUAUAUGAAUAAUUCUAAUUGACAAAAAUCUGCAAUAUAGGCUGUUCUUUUGUUUGUUCAACCAGGUAUACUAUGUGUCCUAUGAAGUUUAGCUGAUCCCAUGUAUGAUUUUUUUGAGGUUAGAAGUUAGAACUGAUGUAUAUUGACCCAACUGAGGCCUCGGUCACUAGUCAUGACUACCGCAUGAUUUUACAAAUUAUGCUAUAGUAAGUGUGCAAUUUUAUUAACAGACCAGUUUACCCAUUCUUCUUGCCAUGUCCCACAUGAUACCAAGUUCAUCAUGUAGGUCUUAUUAUAUUCUAGGUAACGGUUGAGCCUUGCAUUACUCCCAAUAAUGCCAUCCUAAGUACAUGUGAUACUGAUUCUCGUUUAAGCUCAAGUUAUAUAGUUAAGCUGUAAUAAUUAUUGCUUUUAGUUUUUAAUUUGGGCGAACAGAUUUUUUAUUAUUGCAGCUGAAAACACCUUACAUAGGUGAUGUUGCUGCCACUGCAUGUUUCAUUUUCCUACUGUAAGUACUAAUUGUAACCUUUGCACAGCUAUCCACGUACAGAGAGCACUGCAUAUCCAGCAUCGUUUGAUUUUCGAGGUGCACUUGCUGUGCUAGUACAUAAUCCUCUAUGGUCCAAUGAUGUCUGGACAUUACUGGAUGCUGGUUUUGUUAAGCCUCGUCAAGGUCAUGAUGCUGGGGACCAUCCUCCAAUUACUCCAAUGAGAUCAGCGACAGAAGAAGCUCUGGGAACUGAUGCUUGGAGGCUGUACCAAUACAUAAGCCAGCACUUUAUUGGAACUGUUAGUCCUGAUUGUAGAUAUACAAGGUAGUUUGUCCUGUUGUUUCCAUCGUUGCUGGAUAAAUCAUUCGUGUUUUUGUUUUGUCAUAAUUCACAAGCAUGUCAUAGAACGCGAUGUUUUUUGCAUUACCAAUUUGUAUUCAAAUUUAAUAGUUUCUUAUAAAGGGAUUCAUCAGUAAAUAACCCUUUCAAAAAAACAUGAUUGCCAGGACUGCCAUUGAGUUUACUUCAGGUGGAGAAACUUUCCACUGUGUUGGCUAUCGAGUCACUCAUAAAGGAUUUACCUCUAUCAUGCCAUGGCUGUCUGUCAGUGAGAAUAGUCUUCCUGCCUUUAGAAAGGGAGACUCUGUUAGUAUUCAUAAGGUUGACAUAUAUGAGGUAAGGCUUGUCAGUUUUGCUCAAAUCACACGCGCUUAACUUUUAUGAGGAUAUGAUGCUGACAAAUCAUGAUUCUUUGUUGAAGGGAAGCACCACACCUCCUGAUUACCUCAGUGAAAGUGAAUUGAUCUCUCUCAUGGAGAAGAAUGGCAUAGGUACAGAUGCAUCAAUUCCUGUACAUAUAAACAACAUUUGCGAACGUAAUUAUGUUCAGGUUAGUUGAGUUGUUUUCUACUAGACCUUCAGAGAGUCAUAUGCUGUGAAUCCUUACACUUGCAAGUUUAUGCUUACAUAUGUAAAUGUGCAAAAAGCAUAAUGCCUCUACUAUCUUUCUUAAAGGUGAAUUCUGGAAGAAGGUUAGUACCAACACCACUGGGGACUACGUUGAUAAGAGGAUAUCAGUGUAUUGAUGCUGAUCUCUGCUUGCCUGAUAUCAGAAGCUUUAUUGAGCAACAGAUUACUCUAAUUGCAAAAGGCAAAGCUGAUCAUCGUCAAGUUAUUCAACAUGUUAUUCAGCAAUUUAUGAAAAAGUACUCUUACUUUGUGAAAAAGGUAACACAUUUUGUUCAUAAUCUAUUGAGACUCCAUUGUUGUAUUGCAUGGUAUUUGGAAAAGUUUAUGUCAAUGAUCAAGCAAUGCUUUACCUUCAUCUGAAGCUGUAACAACAAUGAGUCCGCCAAAUGGUUAAUAUUAUUUUACAUUUGCAGAUACAUUUUUUCUACAAAGAAUACAUAUACAUCUAACAAAAAACAUGUUAUAGAUUUCCUGUUUUUAACAACCAAAGUUCAUUGUGUACCGCUAUAAUUCUGUUACGGUGCUGAUUGCAGAUUGAAAGCAUGGAUGCUUUGUUUGAAGCACAAUUUUCACCUUUGGCAGACUCUGGGCGCCUACUGAGCAAGUGCGGAAAAUGUGGUCGGUAUAUGAAAUACAUUUCCACUCAGCCGAUGAGGUUGUACUGUAUAACUUGUGAGGAUGUCUAUUAUCUUCCUCAGAACGGUUCGAUUAAGGUAAUUACUUUACCUUUAUUUAUUUCUUGGUAAAUCAGUUGCUUUACUUCCAUGCAUGGUUCAUGAGAAUUGAACCACUAGAACCACGUAUUACAUUCAUGGAACCCUUGUAACUAUUCUCUGGCCAGCAUUCCCUUUCAAUGGGGAAAAAGGUUCUUGCAGAACAGCUAAAAUGUGGUGAUCCCAUACUUUGUAAUUUUUAGGUUUUUGUUAUUAAUUGCCGUGAUUGUCAUAACCUGAUUCUUAUUCCAUUUGGUUUCCCUAAUUUUGUGUUCAUCAGUUUUUUCAUGCCAUGUUGGAUUCUAAAAGCAUGUAUCCCAUUAUCCUCUGUGUUUUAUUAUGCCAAGCUCCCAGUUUGAUGCCUUAAUAAUUCUAUCCUUUCCAGCUUUACAAGGAAAUCAUAUGCCCUCUUGAUGGUUUCGAGUUGCUUCUGUUCUCAAUGGUCGGACCUGAUGCAAAAUCUUUUCCGCUGUGCCCCUUUUGCUAUACUAAUCCUCCAUUUGAAGGCAUAGACAAACUCUUUGGUGCUCUCAAGAUAGAUGACACUGGCAAGGUUGCGAAAGGGGCUGGCAUGCCGUGUUGCCUUUGCCCGCACCCGACAUGCAAGCAAUCUAUGAUCACUCAAGGAGUUUGUGCCUGUCCUGAGUGUAGCGGUACCCUGAUUCUUGAUCCAGUUAGUGCACCCAAAUGGCGGCUUUACUGCAACAUGUGUAACUGCAUUGUAUUACUCCCACAUGCCGCACAUAGGAUCAGCACUACAGAUAAAAAGUGCCUAACAUGUGAGUCUACUAUCAUUGAAGUUGAUUUCAACAAGAAAACCACCCCUCUUCAAGAUGGAGCUACAUUGCAUGAGGGUUGUAUCUUGUGUGAUGAUCUGUUGCAUUCACUCAUUGAAAUGAAGCAUGGGAAGUCAUUCUUUAUGCGGAGAGGGAGAGGGAGAGGGAGAGGGAGGGGCCGGGGCAGAGGAAGUAGCCGUGGUAGGGGAAGACGAGGGAAUUCAAGGUAUGAUGAUCCUAAAAUGAGCUUCAGAGAUUUUUAAAGAUUUUGGGGCUUCUCUACAGUGGCAAGCUGAUCUGUGAGUAUCCUAAAAUAAGCUUCAGAGAUUUUUGAAGAUUUUGGACGUCGACGUUGGUCACUAAUAUGUAUGUAUGGACUUCGACGUUCUGCAAUAUCACUGUUUGUAUUUUACUUUCUUGCAUAGCCACAUCUUGUUAUCUGUCAUAGAUUUCUAGCACAGAUUAUUAAACUAUGUAUUUCUAGGUUAGUUCUUUAAACCAAAUGCAAUGAACAACAAUGCAGUACUGAAUUGUCCAGAAAUCUGAUGCACCUGAAGCAUCUGUUAGUUUAGUUUGCAUUGACUUAGAUAGUUGAGAUGCACAAAAAGAUGAUUACCACAUACAAAAGCCAACAUACAUGUCCCUACAGAUUUUUUUAUUUCGUAAAAAAUAAAAAAGAAAGGAUACGCUUCUAUUUAUAUUGUACUUAAAGUACAUUUGUUGACAUUGGAUUUUGGAAGAAUUAGGCAAGUGUUGAUGAAGCAUGGAUUAUUUGUUUCUUAUUUUACUGUACACAAUUUUAAAUAUACCCUUUGAGGUACUCUUCUUUAAGACGAAAUCAGGGAAGGUCUCUCCCUCUGGCCAUGGAUUUUUUAUAUUUUUGGUUCCCUACUCUGUCUAAGUAGGGCUUUUAUUUGAAAUAAGUAUUUGUCCAUAGCCGCCUUCAAUGGUCAUUUGCAGGCCUGCUUUCUUCUUUAACACUAUGACUUCUAAAGUCCUAAACCAUGCUUAUGAAGGAAUGCUACCAUCUUCUGCAGCUUUGUCUUUGCAUUCAGUGAACCCCCCAGAAUGGAGUAACUAUAUUAUUCAAAACGUGACUUGGGAGUUAGCUGCUGUCACACAUCUUUGUGCAUCAAACGCAUUCCAAUUUCCAUGCAACAGGACAGUAAAUCUGAGUUUUGGUUUCAUGUUUUGGAUAGAACCAGUUACAUAAAGUAGUUUAGGCAUAUAGAUAUAUUUACCCUGUUGAACAAAAUGAAAGAGCUAGAUCAACUCAAUUGUUGUGCUGCUACCAGGACUCAGGAGUAUUGUUUUGUUAAAAGAGAAGGAACCUAGUACCAAUCAUUGACAGUAGGACCUACAGUUGAAGGUUGGUUAGAAUUGAGAACUUCUAGCUCAAUAUGACUAAGGCACUUAUCAGCCCACAAACUGAAAUGCAGCUCAACAAACUCCUGCACUCUUAGCAACAUACUCCCUCUGUCCGAAAUUGUAGGUCGUUUUGGCAUUUCUAAGUUCAUAACUUUUGCUAUGCAUUUGGAUAUACACUAUGUCUAGAUACAUAGUAAAAGCUAUGAAUCUAUAAAUGCCAAAACGAUCUACAAUUUGGGACGGAGACAGUAGUUGAUACCUAAUUGCUUCUUCUGAGCUGAUGCGAUCCUUCUAGAUGGACUCUCGAUGAUAAUAGAAGAAAAGGAUGGUUAUUCCUAUAUUGUUGCUUUGCCCUUACUGCACAAGUAUAGUUUCGAGGUGGCAUAUUAGUAUUUGACAUUCAUUGGUUGAUGUUGUGCUUCGUCUUCAACAGAGCACUGGUAACAAAGUUAUACAGCUCAGCUCUCCACUUGACUUAUCGCUUCAGGUUGUCCCAAGCCCCUGUACCCACCAACUGAAGAUGGGCGCUUAAAAGUUCACUUCAAGUUCAAGGAAACUGAGCAGAGUACAACCCAAACGGACCGUGUGAACCCUAAUGAACGAAGGGUCGUAUUCACAGAACCAAUUCGAAAGGUAGCCUGUAGCUUUGUGGAGGGAGCAAAGCAUUUUAUUGGAACCUGAAAACCAGACAGGAAACAGGGAAAGGGUGCCUUUGUGAUCAUGUGGGAUCUGAUACGUCAAUGAGACUGAACCCAAUGAUGCAAGUCUUUGCUCGUAUUGUAUUGAUGCGGUAAAUCAUGCUGGCAAAAUGGGAAUAAUUUGAACUUGGUUUGAUCAUAGACAUUUAGAGUUGUUCCAGCUUCCAAGCAUGAACUUUCUAUGAUGUGGUAGAUCGAGCAGGUGAAUUACUGGAAAAUACUGGCAACCAAUUCGUUGCCGGGAGAAAUUGCUAGGGAACUGAUUGACCUAUCAUUUGAUUUUGAAGUGGCAGCAAGAUGUCACUUUCCACCAUCAGAAAAGGGGUGCCUUGUGCACCUGAAAGUGGUUUACCAAAGCUGGAAGCCACGGCUUUUCAUGUAGCUUUGUUUAUUUCUCUAGGAGGGAAUCCAGUAGCUGCAAAAAUCAUAAUUUUGGGUUACAAAAGAGCCGGUUGAGGAAAGAUAAAGGACCAAAUAUUCUUUGAUUUCCAAUUGAUAGUAACAAAUACGCUUUCAUCCUUUAUGCUUCUUUUUUUUGAAAAAAAAUCUUCUUAAAGUGAUCCUAUAAAAAGGACAAACAAUGAUGGAUUAGACAUCAUGAUUUAUGCCAUUCUCCUCUAAAAGAAUUCAGGGGCAUGAGUUAUACAGCUAGGUGCAUUUCUUGUCCCCCGUUGCAUUCGGUACGGCAGGAAAGUGAUAGCAAGAGCGCAGGAUAUGUCGCAGUACAGCGUACAGGAUUGGGGAUUGUACUACAAGCCGAUCGCAAAGAGAAGAUAUUGCCGUAGUACAAGGUAGCCGCGCGGACCAUUAUCUUAGAGGUUCAGUUUCGAACACUUGUUCGGCUGACUCAGGCAGGACACCUCCGAUGGCGAUGCUUUUUCAUACCAGAAACCUUCCCCUUUCAGCUUCACCAACCACCAUGGUCCACAGGGAGCAGACUGCGCAACUUCAGCAAAAAAGUGGCGUCCGGCAUGGGGCAUGAACGCCAAGUGCAUGAUCGGCGCGAAUCCUCCCGGACAAGGGGACCCCGAGCGUUUGCACACUGCACGCCCCGUUCUAGAAGCUCGAAACCAGCAAGGUGAUGGAACACUACACCAUGCAAAAACAAAAUUGUACAAUACACGUUCACUCACUACAGCUCAAGCUACAGCGCAAGUGGCAACGUACAUAUACACACCGUACCAAAAAAAAAGAAGACAUACAGGCAGGCCAAAAUCACGGGAUCUCACUCUAUACCUAGUGCCAUCUGCCCGUAGCUAUACACGCCACUGAAGGUGGAUGCAGAUGCCUGAGAAACUUUCACGCCGUGACGCCGAGCGAUCAGUGGGGCAGGUGGCCAUUGGAGGCGGCGCUGCUGCUGAAGGUCUUGCCCUCGGCCUUGCGCCGGCGGACGACGACGCCCCAGGUGACGGCCUCCAGCGCGGCGGCGGCGAUGGCCAGCACGCAGACGGCGGCGAUGUACGCGGUCCUCCACCGCUGCUCCACGCCCAGGAUGCCCAUCCCCUUGAAGAUGUUGACGACGCCCAGCAC